rnacentral:lncRNA from 1 species
CUAUGGAACGGGGAGGAUUCAUUUUCUUUUCAAAGCCCUCGUCAAACUCAAUGCUAAGUUUGACUGCUCCCUUCGGAGUGACAACAAGCCUUGUUUUCCCCUAAUGUGGAUCGGGGAGGAUUCCUUCUCUUUUCAAAGCCCUCAUCAAACUCGAUGCUGUGUUUAGAACGCUAAGAGUAGGUGGUCUGGUUUUGGUUAGGCCAAAAGUGAAGUUUUCCCCCAUUUUUUAUGGGCUUUUUCUAAUGUAUAUUGGAUAUGUUGUUUGAUUUUUUUUAUAGCUCUUGAUUGUCUUACUGUUUUAUGUUUUGCAUUGUCAAGUCUCUGUUUUCUUUCUUUGGUAUGCAAUGUGGUAACUAGGUCUUGCUAGAACCGGUAGGCUAACCUUUCUAUGGUUCUACAUUUAGUUCCUAAUUAAGUUUGAUUGCUCCCUUCGGAGUGACAAUAAGUUUUGUUAAUGUCGACCCUUUUCUAAAGGGAUUUAGUUCACUGUGGCUAGGCAAGAGGUUUCUAACUCAUGUUUGACAAGACAAAUUUGUUAAAACCAUCUUAGUUUCUAAAGAGUGCCUCCUAUCCCUUUUUUACUCUAUCUAGGCUAGGUUUGGACUAAGUGCAUCAUAGGUAAGUCACGACAAAGCAACAAAGGAAGACAAAGCUAGAAAAGUAUUCAUGCACUUAUUUAUUAUACAUGCAAUCAAGCAUUCACAACAUACAUACCAUUUUCUCAAUCAUGCAUUCACACCUCAAUAAGAAAUAGCUAAAAGGAGCUUACAACAAAAAAGACAGCCGCUUAUUCUCAAAUUUCAGCACAUAUACUCAUCAAAAUUUAGAAUUUCACAUUGCAAACCCGAGCUCAGUGCUCAAGGGUUGCCAAUCAUGCUUUUUAUGCAAGAUCUAAUUAAGCUAAGAAGGUAUAAUGCUCAUUUUGUAUGGAAAGAAUUCUGAAAUUUUUUUUAAAUUUGGGCAAAAUUUGAACCCCGAAGUUUAGACUAAACAUGCAAGCUAAGCAAGCUAUUACCCACACCCACUCAAAAAAUUGCUUUGUCUGUCCUAAAAGCUUUUGAAAAUCAAAGUAAAUGGAGAAAAAUAAGGGGGAACUUUGGACUCCCCUAGAAGGAUCGACAUCCUUGACUUUGGUUUGAAGCUUGCAUGGAUAAACCUUUUCAUUCCUUUUUAAUUGAUUAUUCAUCCUUGUUCCUGAAAAUCAAAGGAAAUUCUCUCAAUUUUAUAUAUUACUAAAAUUAGGAUACAUAUAAGUCUUAACUAGUCUAAUAGCACCCUCCAUUCAUCUUCCCCUACACUGGCUAUGGUAUCAAAAUUUUCAAUUAAGUAAUACGUCUACUAACGAACUUGAAAACAAAACACAUCACACUAAAAAACACAAACAUCACUUUAACCCAACAGAAGCUGCUCUUUUUACCCUUGCACUCACUAUCACAUUACUAUCAUGUUUGUCAACUGUCAAACUAACUCUUUUAAGUUAUUUAGUGUGACUACAAAGUUAUGAACACCAUAAUCUUAAUUAAAACCUUUUAAUAAACAAAUGCCAAGUUACUACUCAACAAUGGCAAGGAAUUCAAAAAACAUGACUGUAACGACCCAACUUUUCUAGGUAAGUCGAAGUCAUUAAUUUCAAAUAAGGACCUGAGUUUACACAAAAUCUCAAUCUCAAACAAUUUCAAAGUCUCAAGAAAAACAAAAAUUUAUACCUGGGCCCGGUUUAAAAUAACCAGCACCUUCAAGACAAAUUUACUAAUUCGUGAAUACAGUUCAACUAUAAAAUUUUCUAAACAAUCUCAAGUACUAAACAAAACACGUGAAACAAAACAUUUAGCGGAAGCAAUUUAAAAUAACCCCUAUGGCAAUCACGCUUCCUUUCUGCCCCUCGUCGGUUUGCCGUCUUUAUUACCUUUGCCUGAAAAUUAAACAUAAGGAGGGUGAGUAUAAAAAUACCCAGUACGAGACCCUCUACUGGUCCCGUCAGGGGAAAAUAAAUUGUUAACAUUCUAUUGGGACACCCUGUACAGUCACAGUCUUGUGAUCCCGUAGGAGGCACAUUUCAGUCUAACGCCCCGAGGGACGUACAUUUCAGUCUAGUGUUCUGCAGAAACACAUAUCAGUCUAAUGCUCUUGAAGGUGCAGAAUAAUUGGUGAUCCGUGUGACACCUACAAGGCACACAUCCCAAUAAAAGCUAACAAUUUUUCCCCUCAGUCCAUUCUAAACAUCUUAACAGUCAUUCACAGAUCAGUUAAACAUUCUCAUCACGUAAACUCUUUAUUUAACCUCAAACAGUCGUCUUACUCUAGUUUAGUCCAAGGUCAAUAAAAAAACAUAUCAUUACAUCAGUUAACAAGCUAAACAAUCAUAACCUCCUCCUCAGUCACCAAGGGCACCACCAUGACGUUUCUUCCGUUCACAAGCACACAACAUAACAGUAGAUUAUACACUCAGUCUAGACAACAAUCAAUCUACUAAUCAAAUCCACACUUUAUAUAAGCAACAUCUACGAGAUUCAGUCGUUUCCACAUCCUUAUCUUUGUACACAUACAUAACUAGACAGUCACAACAUAUACUCAACCACAGUCUACAUCAAUCCAUGCACAUAUAUGUAUUAAUUUCUCCCAGUCAAACAUAGCAAACAUUAAACUUUAAGUCAAUGCCCAAACAUACAUCAUAACAGUCAUCUCUACUCAGUUCAAAUCAAUACAUCUUAAUUAGUCAUUAUAUAUUAAUUUUGUUGUUGAGUCUAGUAGAAAAUCCCUUACUUUCAAGUUAGUUAAGCUCCUUAACCACGUUGAAGUCUACGAAGAACGAACCUAAACAUUAAGACAAUUUCUCAAUAAUUCUCUUCAACGCAUCAAUCAUUUAAAUUCAACCCAAUGUGAUUUUUUUUUUACAACUUACCCAAAUCUUCACAAAACGAGUUCCAACUAGAAUCAAUUGUUUGCUGCGAACCCAAUGAAUUCGAGUGUUACCUUCAACCUAUAAUCGAACAGUAAACUAUUUAUCCAACCAAUUAAUCCAGCAAUAUUACUUGAGUUUAUUUUGGAAACAGUUACAAAUUUCAUAACUUCAAUCUUACCAAUCAAAAUUUAAUGACUCGUGGCAAAGCAGGAACGACAGCGAACAACCCAAUCGAAUGGCGUGGGUUUGCUACCUGCGGCAGGACGAAGAAGGAACUCGACGCGCAGAAAGUUGGAUCUGGGGUCUUUAGUUCGGUUCACGGUAGCGAAUUAAAACCUGAUUGCGCGGACGUCAAAGGUGUUAUUCGCGGAAGAAGUCGAGCAGCAGCUUUGCGAAGAGACGACGUGCGACGGAGAGACUGUAUACAGACGGACGGAGAGUCGCGCGGCAGUGCAGAAAACGGAGGAGAAAGGAAUGGGCGGCGGCUGGGCUUGGCUUCGACGGAGACAGAGGCGAUUAGGACGGGGCACGGCGACGCAGAUCUGGACGACGGCGCGGAGACAGAGGUUGCGCGGCGCUGGGCAGAGGGUCAAACGGCGCUGGGCGAAGGGUCACACGGCGCUGGGCGGAAGGUCACACGGCGGCCUUGCUUCGCGAACAGAGAUGGCGGCCGACGGUUGCAGCGGCGGCUGGGUAUGGUAGAAAAGAAAGAGAAACGGAAGAAGAAUAGGGGCGGCGACCGUGGAUCGGAGAAGAAAAGAAGGAUGAAAGCGAUGGUGGUCGGUUGGAGGGUGCGGCUGGAGGUAGGGAUCGGUGAAGGAGAAAAUAGAAAAAGAAAAUGAAGGGGAAAUGGGGGUUGCGCGCGGGAGGAAGAAGAAAGGAAAAAAAAUUCUUUUUUUUUUUUCUUUUCUUUUAUUUAAAUUAAAUAAUAAAACUAAAAUAUAAAUAAAUAUAUAUAUAAUUAUAUUAUCACAUUUUCAAAUCUUCUUUCUCCCCCUUCAUCAUAUUUUCUUCAAAAAAAUAAAUCUUGUACAAAUCGAAUAAUUUUCUUAAAAUAAAUUACCUUCGAGUUUGGGGCGUUACAAUGACAGCUAUAUUGUAACUUGGCACUUGGGGACUUUAAUGGUGUCAAUAUUGUAACUUCUGGUGCCAUGACAAAUAUUGGUGACUGUCAAGAUAAGUUCGCAUAGCCACCGAAAGAUACAUCGUUGCUUUUGAAGAAUGACAAGACUCUAAAUGAUAUAUGCAGCAUUAUUUUGGUUAUAUCCAAUCUUCUUUGAAGGCUAUGUACUUGAAGAUUUUAAUCAAUAAAUAAAAUGAAGUUUAAUUUUUAAAAUAAUAACAUUACAAUGGGAUGGCGAUUGGAAUUGAUUACUUUGGUUAAAAUUUAAGAUUAGAUUAAAAAAAUCAAUUAAUAGAUAAUUCCAUCCAAUCAAAAUAACUAAAUAAAAGACGAGAUUUGAAAAUAUAAUAUCCUAAUAGACACUAAUAGACUUAUAUUAAUAGAUAAUUUCCUGCCGAUGAAAAAUUACUAAAGUUGUACUAUAUUUUAUAAAUAUUUCAAAACAUUACAUAAACACUAAUUAAAGUUGGGUUUAGUAGCAAAAGGUUACAAAUUUAUUGACACCUUUUUUAGGAAAAAAAAUACCUUGACAUGAUGUAAACUAAAUUUGUAAUCAGCAUUGAAAUCUUUACUAUACUAAAUGGGCUCGUGGAGAAAAAAUUAUAUACAUCUAUUUUAUUCUUAAAUUGUCGAAAAAAAAUUAUAUUACCUUUUGUGAUCUAACGUAGUUGUGACUUUUAUAGUGUAAGUGUCCAUUUUAAUGUUUGGAAAGAUGAUUUUUCCAAUUUUUUAGUUUACAAAAUAAAGUUCUAUAUUUCAUAAAAUAAAACCUUAUGUUGAAUAUAUGUAACUAAUGUUGAUAGGAUGUGAUUGGUUGAUCUUCAAGAUACGAUGCAUUCUGUUUAGAGUGGAGAUGGUUGCACACACAUCAAAUUGGUGCAUUGAUUCCUCCAAAUUUACAUGUGAAAUGUAAAUGUAAAAGAAAAACAAAACAAACUCUUGCAGUUACACAUUAGGAAAAAAAAACGUCACGAAAUUCCAAAGUUCAAAAGAAAACAAACAUACACAGGGAUUUAAUUGAUUCAAAGUAGUAACAAAUGGUGAAAAAAUGCAUAAUUUGUUGUGAUUUCACAUUAACAUGUUAGAAUAAAAAAUUAUCGUAUUCUAUAUAUUACAAUAUUGGAUCAAAUAUUAAUACAUUAAUUUAAUUAUUUAAUUACUACAUCAAUGAAUUUCUUUUUCUUUUUUAAAUAAUAAUUUUACCAUUAAUAUUAUAUAAUAUUUGUUUAUUAUAUGCUAAAGCAUAUUUAAAAAUUAAAUAGAAUUAAGAGAUUUCACGUGAAUUUAUGCACAUGUUUCAACUGAAAAGAUGGAAACAAUAGUCACAAAUUAUUUUUUCCUAAAACAAAACAUUCGUAACCAAAUCUAAAUAUGCACUUUCAUAACUAAGGACCAAAACUCAUAUUACGUAGAAUUGAGCAUGGUUUAAAUGAAAUUAUUAACAAAAUACUUACACUUUAAACCAGGUUUUUUGGCAACAUACAUAGUGAGAAAAUUCCAAAUUUACCCUCUUACUUGUAUCUUUUCAAUAAAAAGUGCAUCUUAGUUGUAAUUAUGUCAAAAUAAAAAUAAAAAAAUAACUCGUCAGUUAACGUGGUUAUUCAUUAAUUGAUUUGGGUGAACUUUCUGAAGAUAAAAAUAACAAAAACAAACAAACAAAAGACUAGAACAUGUUAUUUAAUUAUGUAAUUACAACUUCCCUUUCUCCUCCGUGAGAAAAAAAACCAUUUCUCUAAAUUUCAUCUAUAUAUGUGUAUUGAUCAAAUGACCCAUAUCAAUAAGGACACAAAAUUGGCAAAGAACAAAUAAAUUAAAAUGGACAAUAACUCUUGUUUCAUUACUUUCUCUCUCAUUGGAGUUCUUUUGUUCACCAUCAUUUCAAAUGUGGCAUCAUCUAACGACGUUGUUUCUACCAUCUGUUCAGAAAUCUCAAAUCCACAAUUUUGUUUAAGUGUGUUGAAAUCUGCAGGCACUACAGAUCUAAAAGGCUUGGCUGUAUACACCUUAAACCUUGCUCAUUCAAAUGCUGGCAAAUCUUUGAUCCUAGCCAACUCACUAGCAAAAGCCACCACCAAUCCUCAACUUAAGCAACGAUAUUCAUUUUGUGCUGAGAGCUAUGAUGAAGUUGUUGGUGACAUUGAAAAUGCUCAAAACGACUUGGCACUUGGGGACUUUAUUGGUGUCAUUAUUGCAACUACUGGUGCCAUGACAACUCUUGGUGAUCACUGUCAGAAUAAGCUCUUGCAGCCGCCGAAGGAUACAUCGUUGCUUUUAAAGAAUAGCAACACUCUAGAUGAUAUAUUUAGCAUUAUUAUGGUUAUAUCCGAUCAUCUUUGAGGGUUAUGUACUUGAACAUUUUGAUCAAUAAAUAAACUGAAGUUUAAUUUUUAAAAUAAUAUUACAAUGUGAUGGUGAUUGGAAUUGAUUACUUACUUUGAUUAAACUUGAGAAGAUAAAGAAAAUCAAUUAAUAGAAACGUUCACCGACACACAUUGUCAGCACGUCGGAGAAAGCCUAAACUUUUUUUUCUUUUCUUUUACGUUCUGUUUUCUUUUCUUUGUUUGCCAUCAUCAUCGUCAUCUUCUUCUUCUUCUAGCUUCUUACGUUCUGUUUCAAUUGCAUACUUCUGUUAUUCUUGUAAUUUCUUCGUGGUUUUCUUUUUAACUUUGUGUUUCAGUGUGGAUUCAUAAACACAUUUUUCAGUGCUCUGGAUUCUGGAUCUGUUAUGAUUUGAAAGGGUACAGUGAAGUGAAAAGUUGAAAUGGAAAAGAAAAAAAAGAAGAAAAGAGGACACUUCUCGCGGUGGUGGCGGCAAAGACUGACGUCGACGACAACACAACUCUCCUCCUCUCCCUAUAUCUCGGCCGAUUUUGGGUUUAUUUUCGUUUUGCAUUCUGUUAUGUGUAGAAGGGAGAAUAAAUAGUGUGGACUUUCCCCGACAUCUUCGAAAACGUUGGGAAAUUUACCUUUUCGCCGACGUAUGUAGUACACACGUCGGAGAAAGUUUAAAUAAUAAAUUCAUUAUUUAAACUUUCCCCGACGUACUCCUGUCAUACGAGUCUAAAUUAAAUUUAAUGCGUUCUCCUUCGGCGAUGUGUGUCAAGGUGACGUUGGAAAAAGUUUAAACACUAAUGCAAUUAUUUUAAAUCACAUAUGUUAUCGCUUAUAUGGCAUAAGAGUCUAUUAACGAUAGAAAUCUAUCUUGAUAGGUUUUGCUACAUUUACAAUUUUUAAAAAAUAUUCUUAUAUACUUAACUAUUAUUCCUAAAAUUGCUAACCCAUUAUACUUACCCUAAGUUAAAUGUAUAAUGUCAAAAGUAAGUUUACUACGAAGGUAAUCUAUGUGACCCUUUUAUCCUAACGUAGGAAGUUUGUUCCACUCCAUACCAUUAUUGAACUAAAAGGAUUAAGUGUGUAUUAAUAUGUUUAAACAAGUAUAAUUAUAGCAAAAUCUAUAAGUGAUAUAUUGAUAUUAGCAAUACAAUACGCGUCACAUAUGCAAACAUUUUGUGUCUAAUCGUUGUAUUUACAAUUAACUCCAUUAAAAUAUUACAAAUAGAAAUAGAACUCUUUAAUCUAUGUUCAGUUAGGAUCACAAACUACAAAAUGAAAGCAUGGAACAAAUUUAAUUUUUUUUUUCUUUAAAGGAAAUUUUGUGUGUAGCACAUUAUAUUUUUUUCUUUCCUUUAAAAAACAUUAUUGAUCUUAUGAUAUUUGACAUAUAUUAUAUUUUUUUAAGAAUGUAAAUAAUGUAAAUAAUGUGCCAAAUAAUUGAAAACAUGUUAUCCAAAACAGAGAAUGGUUAAGAAAUUGUUGACAUUUAGUCAAAUUAAUAAAUAAUUCAAAAUUGUGUUUGAUUUUUGAAUUUGAAAAGAUAGUAAAUUAGAAGUGUUUUGAAAUAGUAUUUACGAGAAGAUUUUUAAUUUUAAAUAGCAUUAUAGUAGCUAUGGAUGGUUAUAUAAUAGUCUACACAAUCUUUGUCACAAAUGAUUAAUUCGAUUUUUUAAAUCAAGUCUAAUGUUUUUUUUUUUUUUUUUUGCCUAUUUCUUACCAUAAUUUACAUUUUUUGUAAGUAUAAUGGUUGAAUGCAAAAAGAGAGCUGACUAGUAAGUGCAAAAAGAGAUCUCACAAGCUUCUGCAAAAGCUAAUCAAGCAACCCAAAUCAUAAACGAGGAGAAAAGUUGAUUGGUUAAGCUUUGUUGUAGUAAAGAAGUCAAAGUGAACAUGGAACGUUCUUCACUCUCAAAGAACAUCGCCAACAUAUAGAUUAUAUACUUUUUCUGGUAUUGACCCAAAAAACACAAUCCAAGUGUAUUUUUGGUGAGAUGCAUAGUUUAACUAAACCGUGUUAUUACAAAAUUUUUAAUUACUAGGAACUCCUAAUGAAACGAAUACAUUAUUUUUAUAAUUACGAGGUAAAAUGGAAACAUACAAACUACUAAAAAAAGUUGCAAUUCGAUUAUUGGGAUUCAAUCUACUCUCCAUGAAUGUUCUUGAAAUGAGAGUUUUUAAGCAGCUACAACUUGCUUAUGUAUAAAAGCAAAACCCUUCUCAACGCCUACCUUCAGUUUUGGCUUUAGAGCUUCAAGUGAUUUUUGCCCCUACUCAGAUAAACCCUGAAGAUCAGAUGUUACAAAGGCUUCAAUUCCACAUGCAAAAAUCAUGUUCAUGAACCAAAAGCACCUUAAGCUUCUCUUCGAUAUCUUUGAGCUCACUGGAUAAAGAACUGAUUUCUAAAGCAAUCAUCUCUACCAUAUCCUCAUCGUUCCCACUGUCUUUUAAUAAGGUUGGCAUGAUAAUCACAACAAAGAAGAAGAAACUAAGAUCAAUUUAACAAAUUUUAUGUUGGGAAACUUUUUUAAGAACAACUACUUAUAAACCAACCUUAGCUUUGGCCUCACAUUCCUUGAAUUUUCUAAAAGUAGAUACCACCUGUCCGGGCAACCCACACCAACCAACCAAGAGUAAGUUAGUGUGAAAGACACUUAUUUAAUGAAGAAUAUGUAAAAGAGGUCAUUCCAACUGUUACACAUAAUAGUAUUGGAGGCAGAUAACCUUGCCAUACCUCAUCAAGUUCUGAUAUUGAUUGAGCUAGUUUUUGAUACUCUGUGGGGUUUGAGACAAUAUCUGGAUUGACCAGCUUAACCUAAAUAAUAAUAUCGAUAGUGAUUAUUGUGUAGGAAAAUAUUAAAGCUAUAACCAAAUCAAAAGCAUAAUUGGAAAUACAUCAAAGAUGUAAAUGCAAAUUUCAAAAGUGGAUCUACAGAAUGUAAGGGGAAGAAACUCAAAUAAAAUUACUUUAUUAGUUAUACGACUACUAUAGAGAUUCCAGAUACACCACAGUUCCACGUCCUCUUUCAGGAGGAAAGCAAUGGUUAAAAAUUAAUUGUGAAAACUAAAGAAGGUCCUGUUCAAAUCCUAACAGCAAUAGGAAAGCAAGGAGUUAUAAGGUGAUCACUAUAGCCAAAUCCAAAAUGCAUUCAAUAUUUGUCUUCCAAUUUCAUUAUCAAGUGCAUAGGCAAGGUCCCUAGUGAGGAAGUUAUUCGUUCUUUUCUUCAUUUUCUAUAGCUCUAGAAGUAGCUAAAUGGAAUCGUCAAGCACCUAAUCUAUUAAUUUUAAAACUCAAAAGUUCACCGCGGGAUUCUAGUCACUGCUGAAACAACAUAGAGUUCACUAGUUCCACAGUUAAAUUAAUUGCAAAUUGCAUUUCCUGGCAUUUUCAAGAAAAAAAAAAUGCACAAAUCAUAAUAUGAUGAAGUAGAAAAAUUUUGUGAGCUCGACUUUUCCAGGACAUAUCUUAGCUACUUCUCCUAUUCCAGCUCGAUAACCAUUGUACUUUAACAAUUGAAACAUUAAUCCAAUAGUUAACAAUGUUCUGCACUUUAUGCCCUUACAUUUCCAACAACUUGAUGCAUACAUCAGUAGUUAACACAGGCACGAGCUCUUAAAUUCAAUGCAAAAUAACAGUCCCAUUCCAAGCAUAGACACCAAAUACAAACAAUUGAUGGACUUGAAUCAGUGAAGAAAUAAGAAUGUCAUUUAACAGCAAAGCACAAAUUACCGAUAAUUUUUUCCACGUCUUCUCAGCAGAUUCCAAUUUCACGAUCAAAUAAGGUUCCUAAAAUAAAGCAAUCACCAUCAUCAUUUUCCACAAAUAUGAUUCGAACUAGUUUUACCACAAAUUAAUUUCUAGUAACUUGAAGAAAAACUCAGUGAACUCAAAGCAUAACGAAACUCAAGUUCUGUUAAAGCCAAUCCGAACAAUAAGAUAUAGACAUAUUGUGUUCUCGAAAGAAAAACAUUCAAUAAAUCUAACAGCCAUGCAAAUUAGAGUUGAAGCUCUAAAGGGAGGUGCAAAGCAUUUAAGUUCCAGAGAGCAUCUUCUGAAGGCGAUGAGCCCAUAAGAUGAAAAAAAGGCCUCAAGUGAGGAAGAAAGACGCCAUCCAAACAUGAAAAAAGGAAGAAAGGCAAGAUUUUGGUAGCUCCAGACCUGAGGGAAGCCAACAAGGUGGCGAGGGAGGCAAGGCCCCAAAGUUUAGCAUUGCCAGCAAAGUGAAGGUAGAGAAGGACCUUUCCUUUCGACGUGGCCCUCCGAGAGUUUAUGGACGCCCCAAUUGGGGCGUUUGGAUGGAGUAAGUUCUUCAAGGGACUUCCAAGAUUCGAUGGAGGUUGUCAAGAAAUUCUACGCAUCAGAUUACAACCACUACAAGGAAUUUCAGAUCAACCAACACAAUUUAACACUAUUGGGAGAAUCCACGAAUUCUUGGUCAAGUAGAAGAACCUCCAUGUGGAAGAAACAAAUUGUGAACGUGUCGAAGACCUUGAAGUGUGGAAAUGGAAGAUCAAAGAGUUCCAGCUUCGCCAGUCGACAGGGACGUCAACUGUUUAAGUAGGGGAGAAUGUCAAGAGCAUGCUUGUCCAAGGCAUUGUUUGCCCAUGGCCGCAUGGCCGAACAUCCUCAAACCGCCUUAUAUUUAUGUCUUAUACUUAGUUUAGCCAUUUUGUUUCCUUUUGUUGUCGCCGACCUAGGGUGUGACGUUUCAAAAUUUUCAUAUGCAAGUCUGUCAUAGCUAAAAAUGUUUAAAAUGUACUAUAGGGAAGACAUAGUAGUUGAAUCCCUGACCAAGCCUUGUUGCACUCUUUGCAUUCUAAUCUUUCUUUGCAAUUAACAGUCUUCAAUGCUUUCUUUAACGAUGUUUUCAAUUCUUUUCUUCUCUUCUUGUCUUAUAAAAAUAAAUUUCUCUCAAAACAUGAAAGAGGCUAUACCGUACUGCGUGCUUUUUGCGACUUCUGGAUUUCAUACAGCUUACUUGUUCACCGAGCUAGAACAAACGUCGCAUAAUCACCAUCCCCUAUUUGAAAAUUUACGAUUAUGACAGCAUGCGGUGAGGUGCACGCGGCAUGUGUGGGCCCAAGCCAAGCAUGCAACUGGCAUUCUGAUACUCUAUGCACGUGCAUGCUGCCUGCGCCCAUGCCGUGCAGCCAGCAUUGUCAUGACGUAGUUUUUGGGAUGUUUGGUGUUUUGGGAAAUUUUGAGCAAAUUCUGGAUGUUCGAGCAUGCGGAUGUUCUAUGCAAUGCAACCAGCAGCCCAUAUGUUCUAUGUUCUCUUUACGGUCGUAUGUGCACAUUUGGUUAACUCUACUACUAAUGGGAAAGUUGACGAGCCUAUGCUGAAUUCAUCAGGAAAGGUGUACUUUGUUGAGCCCAUUGAGGAGAAGGAUACCUUCUUUUUUCGAAGAGGUGUUUCAAUGCCUAGGCCGUCUUUUGACAAUGAGGUGUUAAUAUUACCUAGACUUCAUGCUAAGAACGGGUUGUGAAUUUAUAAUCAAGAAUGCAGUUCGAGUAUCAUGUCUUUCAAAUGAUUUCCAACAGCUUGAAUGUUUCUAUAAGACAAGAAUUUAUGCUUAACUGUUUUAGAAAGCAUGUUUUAUAAAAAUUGUCACUCACUAAGUCUUUCGACUUAUCCUUUCAAAUCAUUUCUCACUUUUCAGGUAUGGAUUAUGCAUUCCCUAAUGUUAAGCGUAUUGCUGCUGAGCCAACCAGUUACUAGAAAUUGUUAAGUCAUUUUGAAAGUUAGUUUUGACUUUGUAAGAAAAGUUCAGGAUGAGCAUGUCUAUGUUUAUUGUUAAAGUUCCAAUGUUAUAAGUUAGUUUAGUAAAAAGGUCACUGUCAUGUUUAAAGCUUCUGCUGAUGUAUCACAAUAGUUGUAACUAGUGGUUUAAGUUAUUAGUAAAAGCAUGUAGCUUGUAUCGCUGUUUGUUUUGAGCAUGCAUUCAUGUUGUAACUGGUAGUUAAGUUAGAAAGGUUAGUCGGUUGGUAAGUUUUGCCAAGGUAUGGCAAUCCUUGCCAACCCUCGCACCUUCUUUCAGAGCUAGAUGUUGUUCAGAAAAUAAGGAGCUUUGGGAGGGGGUGGUGACAACAACACCAUCCCACUAGAGUACGCAAUGAUGCAUUAUUGUUUAAUUAAGUCAUAUAUACUUCCACAAUUUGGAUAGGAAUUUAACUCAUUAGAAGGUGUCCUAUAGAAUUUCUCAGUGAAAAGUUCAGAGAAGCUACAAACAAAUGUCACUACCGAACAACAAUCAUAUACAUGGGUUAGGGCUUUGAGCAGUGUGAACACAACUUAAUAAUAAAUAUGAAGUCGUCCUCUUUUCAUCAUUAGUCAGAAGAAUUCUUAAACUUUCUAAAAAUAAUUGUCAAAUAAUUGAUUAUAUAGUAUGCCAUUUAUUUGGAAUACAAUUUUUUCAUUACCAGGAAAGGAGACUUCUCACUAAGUAAAUGUAAAGAGACUAAUGCUAUAAUUUGAAUUGGAAAAUAUAAUUUCAUAAUUAAGCAUCGAAUAGGGACUAGUUAAGAAGUACACACUUUAGUUUGCCAGAGUCCAUGUUCUACACAUGUUAGCCACUCUGUCAUUGGUUUAGCAGUAAAACAAAGGAUGUGUUUAGGAUGUGAGCCACACAAAAGGGAAAGAAAACAGAAGGCGCAGUGAGCCACACAAAAGGGAUCGAAACGAAUGUUCAGAAAUAUCGGAAGGAUCGAAGAAAUAUGGAAGGAAAGACGAGGAAAAAACAACAGACCGGAGCAAGUUCAAGAAGGUAGAGAUCCCGAUCUUCAAUGGAAUAGACCCCGAUUCAUGGUUAUUUCGCGCCGAUCGUUAUUUCAAGAUACACAAGUUGACUGACUCAGAGAAGUUAAUGGUAGCGGUAAUCAGUUAUUAGGACCAGCUUUGGAUUGGUAUAGAUCAAUUGAUGAAUUGGAACAAUUCAAGAGUUGGGAAGAUUUGAAGCAAAGGUUGUUGUCCGAUUUCAGACGAUUCGGGAUGGAACACUCGUAGGCAGAUUCUUAAGGAUUAAGCAGGAAACGACAGUAGGGGAAUAUAGAAACAGUUUCGAUAAAUAUUUAGCUCCGGUAGCCUUCCUCCAGACCAUAGUAUUAGAAGAAACCUUUAUGAAUGGGCUAAGCCCAUGGCAUAAAUCCGAAGUUGAAACGCUGGAGCCCAUAGGUUUGGCCAAGAUGAUGUAACUAGCCCUGAAAUUGAAAAUAGAGAGAUGGUUCGUCGAGAAUGUGGGCUUAGUAGUGUUUCGGGAAUGAAUCAACAAUUCAAGCAUAAUAACGUAAAGCAAACCUCGACAGUAACACCCAAUCAGAAACCCACGGAAGGGAGCUGGCCAAUGAGAACGAUUACGUUAAAAAGAGUGACGGCAGAUGAAAAGAGGAGGGAAGGUCCGACCAAGCGUCUUUCCAACGCUGAAUUUCAAGCACGGAGGGAAAACGGUCUGUGUUUUCAGUGUGAGGAGAAGUAUCACGCUGGACAUAGGCGUAAGGUGAAGGAACAGAAGGAAUUACGGAUGUUAGUAGUAAAGGAAAUGGGAGAAGAACUGGAAAUCAUUGAGGAUGAACACUUUGAUGUGGAAACGGAGGCCCAGACCAUUGAAAUUGAAAAAGUGGAGAAUAUGAAUAUAGAGCUGUCCAUUAACUCAAUUGUGGGGUUAUCCAACCCUGGAACCAUGAAACUGAAAGGGAAGAUAAAAGAGACCAAAGUGGUAAUAAUCAUCGACAGUGGAGCCACCCACAGUUUUAUUGCAAAAAAUUUUGUAACCACCCUUAGCCUACCAAUGACAGAAACGUCCAACUAUGGAGUGAUUUUGGGAUCAGGGGUUGCGGUCAAAGGAAAAGGAAUCCGCAGUAAUGUUGAAGUGACGGUAGGAGAGUGGAAAAUUACAAACAACUUUUUACCCUUGGAAUUAGGGGUGGUUGCACUCAUUGGGCAUGACUGAAUUUGAUAUGAAAAAUUUGGUGAUGACAUUCCGACAUGGAGGAAGGAAGAUAGAGAUAAAGGGGGACCCUAGUGUCACCAAAACCCAAGUGAGCCUAAAGUCUAUAAUUAAGACAUGGGGAGCUGAUAAUCACGGUUAUUUGGUAGAAUGUCGGGCCAUGGAGGGAAGGCUAGCUGAGGAAGGCUUAGAGGAUGAAGAAGUGCCAGCCACUGUUGACAACAUGAUCUCUCCUCUGUUGAGCAAAUUUAAUGAUGUUUUUGAUUGGUUGGAAGAGCUGCCUUCGAAGAGGAACAUUGAGCACCAUAUACCCCUUCAGAAGGGGGUGGAUCCAGUUAAUGUCAGACCUUAUCGUUACGCACAUCGGCAAAAGGAGGAAAUUGAAAGACUAGUUGAUGAAAUGUUGAAGACAGGCAUCAUAUGACCGGGUACCAGUCUGUAUUCCAGCCCAGUCCUUCUCGUGAAAAAGAAAGAUGAUAGCUGGCAAUUUUGUGUAGAUUAUCGGGAGUUGAACAAUGUCACUAUCCCAGAUAAGUUCCCAAUUCCGGUCAUAGAUGAGUUAUUCAAUGAGCUGAAUGGGGCCAACAUGUUUUCGAAGAUUUAUUUAAAGGCGGGUUAUCACCAAAUCAGGAUGCAUCUGAGAGGUGUAGAGAAGACGGCCUUUCGAACACAAUGAGGGACACUAUGAGAUUCUUGGUCAUGCCCGUUUGAGCUAACCAAUGCCCCCUCUACGUUCCAAGCAUUAAUGAACCACAUCUUUAAGCCUUAUAUGAGAAAGAUUCGUAUUAGUGUUUUUCGAUGACAUUUUGGUGUACAACAGGGGAGUAGAAGAACAUGGACAGCAUCUGGAAGUAGUCUUGGAGAUCCUUCGAGAGAAUGAAUUGUAUGUGAAUUUAGCCAAAUGUUGCUUUGCCAAAAGUAGAAUAGGUUAUUUGGGGCAUUUCAUAUCCGAAAAGGGAGCUAAAGUUGAUCCAGAAAAAAUAAGGGCAAUUAGGGGAAUGGUCGAUUCCCACUAGUGUGCGAGAAGUUCGAGGUUUCUUAGGACUCAAUUGAUACUAUAGGAAGUUUGGGCAGAAUUAUGGCAGUAUCGAAAGCCCUUUGACACAGCUUUUGAAGACAGGAACUCAUUGUUGGACUGAAGAAGCAAGUGCUGCCUUUGAGAAGUUGAAGAUGGCAAUGAUGAUUCUACCGACGUUAGCUAUGCUGGACUUUAAUCUACCACUCGAGAUAGAAACAUAUGUAUCUUGUUUUGGUGUGGGGCCGUUUUAGUACAAGCCAAGAGACAAAUAUCCUUCUUUAGUAAAACCUUAUGCAUGUGGGAUAGAGCGCGACUGGUUUAUGAAAGAGAAUUGAUAAUAGUAGUGUUUGCGGUGCAAAGGUGGAGACCAUAUUUGUUAGGGAAGAAAUUUACAGUGAAAACUGAUCAGAAGUCGCUCAAAUUUCGGCUAGAACAAAGGGUGAUUCAACCCUAAUACCAAAAAUGGAUAGCCAAUCUUUUGGGAUAUUCAUUUGAGGUAGUCUGCAAUCCUGGAUUGGAGAAUAAGGCAGCCGAUGCUCUAUCUAGAACACCCCGUAUAGUGCACUUAAAUCAAAUAUCAGCCCCAACACUACUCGAUUUAGUGGUGAGUCAAGAAGAGGAAAAGAGGGAUCAAUACCUACAGGAAAUCCAGAAGAAAAUAGAAAGAACAAAAAGUGAAAGUUCCAAACUUUUCAGUACAGCAAGGGGUAUUGAAAUACAAAGGAAGGUUGGUGCUGUCAAAAACAUCCGUUCUACUACCCACUAUCAUGCAUACCUAUCAUGAUUUUGUCUUUGGAGGACAUUCAGGGUUCCUAAGAACGUACAAGAGGAUGACCGGAGAGAUUUACUAGGAAGGAAUGAAGAAAAACAUAAAGAAAUACUAUGAAGAAUGUCUUGUAUGCCAAAGGAAUAAAACACUUGCAUUAUUACCUGCUGGAUUGCUGCUGCGCACUUGAGAUUCCUAACACAGUGUGGUCGGAUAUUUCCAUGGAUUUUAUAGAUGGACUUCCAAAAUCAGCUGGAAAAGAAGUGAUUUUUGUGGUUGUAGAUUGUCUGAGUAAGUAUGCACAUUUUACAGCUAUAAAUCAUUCUUACAUGGCCAGCUUCGUAGCAGAAGUUUUUGUUAAAGAAGUGGUGAGAUUGCACGGUAGCAUGUAUCCGCAGUAAGUUGUAUCGGAUCAAGACAAAAUCUUUAUUAGUCAUUUCUGGAAGGAAAUGUUCAAGUUAGUGGGAACUAAAAUAAAUAGAAGGAAAUGUUCAGGUUAGUGGGAACUAUGCCCAUAUACACCAAGUUCGAAUAUAGAACUUGCUUCUUACUGAAAAAAUAAUGAUUAUGGGACUUGCUAUAAGGGUAUCCAAUACUCGAAGUAAAUGAAUGAUUACAAAAUGAUUGUUUCCUCAGUUUGAAGAAGAACAACAAAAAAGAAAAGAAGGAUAAAAAUAAAAAAAAAAACAAACUUUCUUUUUGAAAUUCUAAAAGAAUCCAAAAAGACUUCAAAAGGUGCAACCAAGAAAGGAGGUCAAAGAAGGGCUCUGAUAGACCCCCCUAUCAUACGUCAAUAUAGUCAAAAAAAAAAAGAGAGAGAUCACAAGGGAACACACAUGCGAAGAAGAAAAGAUUUAAAGGAUUGUUAGAAGAAAAGAUUUAAAAAGCUUGUUGGGCGUCGGUUAGAUUUGAGGAGAUUUAGGAGGGUCGUUAGGUGUUGAUUAGAAUAAAUAAGGAUAGGGAGGAAAGAGGAGGGUAUGCUGAGUUUAGAAGAAAAUUGACUCAUGCUCUUCCUUGAGCGAUAGGAUAGCAGAGAGGGAAUUAGAUUGUUUUUCGAAUUGAGUCCUCCUCAAUUUGAGUGUUCUGAUAUUUUGAUUUUCCUUGUAACUCAUUCUUUGAUUGAAGCAAUAAAAGUUCUAAUUGGAUUUCCAAAAGAGUUCUAUCAAAUUGGUAUCAGAGACAGUUUUUUCUGACCAAGAGGAAAAUGAUGGUCCAAACACGAAUGAAGGAGAGAAUGGAGGCGCACGACCAGGAGAUGCAUUUGAUGAGAAGCGAGAUAAGCAAAAUUUCGACAAUGAAAGAAAUAUUAGCCACGAUCAGCGUACAGACAAAGAAGACUCACAAAAUGUUGAUAAUGUUCAUGGAAUCGAUUACCAGAGAGCAUAUCGUUAUGAGUGAGAAAAUGGCCGAGUCGAGUGUGCGAGAGACAGUAUCAACAAUAACGAAUAAGAAGGAAGGCUCGAUCGAAAAGGACCAUGAGCACGAAACAAAGGAUGGAAAGAUAGAAGGAGAAGACGGAGCGAACGAGCAUAAUAAGUUCAAGAAGGUUGAGAUGCCAGUUUUCAACACGGAAGAUCCCAAUUUUUGACCCUUUCGAGCAGAUAGAUAUUUUCAGAUACACAAAUUGACUGAUGCUGAGAAGGUCCUGGUUGCGACCAUUAGUUUUGAAGGCCCGACGCUGAACUAGUAUAGGGCGCAAGAAGAACACGACAAGUUUACCAGUUGGUCGAACCUCAAGGAGAGAAUACUCAUCCGUUUUCAAUCAGCAAAAGAGGGGUCCAUAUGCGGACAAUUUUUUAGGAUCGGAUAACAGACGACAGUAGAAGAAUAUCGAAACCAGUUAUAUAAGCUGAUGGAACCGUUAUCCGAUCUACAAGACAGAGUGGUGGAGGAAACAUUCAUGAACGGUUUACUGCCGUGGAUUAAAGCAGAAGUGGAUUUUUGUCGUCCGGUCGACGUGGCUCAAAUGGUGCACGCGGCUCAACUCGUAGAAAAUCGAGAGAUAAUUCACAAUGAGGCCAACCUUAAGGGGUACGCCCAAGGAAAAUAUCCGCCUCAAGGUUCUAGGCAAAAUACGAGUGCUGCGACGGUGAACGAUAGCGACAAUAAGAGAAAUACAUUAUUUUCGAUGAGAACGAUUACUCUGAGAACGACAUCCAGAGAAGUUAAGAGAGGGGCAGGCAAAGCGAUUGUUAGACGCGGAGUUUCAAGUCAGGAAGGAAAAAGGACAUUGUUUCCGUUGUAAUGAGAUAUAUUAUCAUGAUCAUCGAUGCAAAAACAGAGGGCAAAGAGAGUUGAGAAUGUACGUGGUCAGGGCGAAUGAUGAAGAAUUUGAAAUCAUAGAAGAAGUGGGAGAAAAUGAAUUGUUUGGAAAUCACAUAAGAAGAUCAUGUUGUCAUCGAACUGUCAAUUAAUUCGGUGGUGGGGCUGAACAAUCCGAGGACAAUGAAGGUGAGGGGGAAUAUCAGUGAGCGAGAAGUUUUCAUUUUCAUUGAUUGUGGAGCAACGCACAACUUCAUCUCCGAAAAGAUAGUAAAGGAGUUACAACUGGCCACGAAGGCAACGUCGCACUAUGGUGUAAUCUUGGGCUCGGGGGAGGCGAUAAAAGGUAAAGGAGUAUGUGAGGACGUGGAAAUCAAGUUGAACGGGUGGAAGGUGGUGGAAAAUUUGUUACCCUUAGAAUUGAGAGGGGUAGAUGUUGUGUUAGGAAUGCAGUAGUUGUAUUCAUUGGGCAUGACGGAAGUAGAUUGGAGGAACCUCACAAUGACUUUUGUGCAACAAGGAGAAAAGGUAGUGAUAAGAGGAGACCCAAGUUUGACCAAAUCCAGAGUGAGUCUCAAGAACAUGAUCAAAAGGUGGAAGGAUUCGUGAUCGAGUGCCGAGCAAUGGAGAGAGUCUUUGAGCCACAGGAAGAUAACGGGAUUGAAGAAGUAUUAACUACUGAUGAAGCAGUAUCGGUCGUGUUGAAGAAUUUUGAAGAUGUUUCUAAUUGGCCGAAGACACUACCCCCGCAAAGAAAUAUUGAACAUCACAUUCAUUUGAAACAGGGCACUGAUCUGGUAAAUGUUCGACCCUAUAGAUACGCUUAUCAACAGAAAGCUGAGAUGGACAAACUUGUGGAUGAGAUGUUGACAGCUGGAAUUAUCCGUCCCAGCAACAGUCCAUAUCUAGUCCAGUUCUAUUGGUAAUGAAAAAAGAUGGCAGCUGGCGUUUUUGCGUAGACUACCAAGCGCUGAACAAUGUAACCAUUCCAGACAAAUUCCCUAUUCCGGUGGUUAAGGAGCUUUUCGAUGAAUUAAAUGAAGCAAACUGGUUUUCAAAGAUUGAUUUGAAGGUGGGGUACCAUCAGAUCAAAAUGUGUGGAGAAGACAUCGAAAAAGCAGCAUUCCGAACACAUGAUGGACACUAUGAAUUUAUGGUUAUGCCAUUCGGCUUAACUAAUGCCACAUCCACUUUCCAAGCUCUGAUGAACUCAACAUUCAAACCAUUUUUGCAGAAGUUCAUAUUAGUGUUUUUCGACGACAUACUAAUCUACAGUGAGAACUUGGAACACCAUUUGAAGCACAUUGGGUUAGCAUUGGAAAUCCUGAGAAAGAAUGAGUUAUAUGCAAACAAGAAGAAGUGCAGCUUCGCACAAGAACGUAUUGAUUAUUUGGGUCAUAUCAUUUCAAGACAAGGAGUUGAAGUGGACCUUGAGAAAAUCAGAGCAAUCACGGAAUGGCCUAUACCCAGUAAUAUAAGAGAGGUACGGGGAUUCCUAGGCCUCACCUGUAACUAAAGAAAGUUCGUUCAGCACUAUGGCUCCAUUGCCGCACCAUUGAUUCAACUACUUAGGAAAGGGGGAUUCCAGUGGACUGAGGAGUCUAAGGAGGCAUUCCAACAACUACAAAAUGCGAUGAUGACCCUGCCCGUUUUGGCGUUGAAAAAAUUUCAAUGCCACAUUUGAAAUGGAAACCGAUGCAUCGGGAUAUGGGGUAGGAGUCGUACUCGUCCAAGCCAAGCGUCCCAUAGCAUACUUUAGUCAUACGUUAGCCUCAAGAGAUAGAGCCAAGCCUGUACAUAAAAGGGAAUUAAUGGCAGUGGUCUUGCAUGUGCAACGAUGGCGACCAUAUCUGUUGGGGAGAAAAUUUAUUGUGAAGACCGAUCAGAAAUCCUUGAAGUUCUUGUUAGAACAAAGAGUGAUACAGCUUCAGUAUCAGAAAUGGGUAGCGAAGCUAACGGGAUACUCAUUUGAGGUGGUCUACAAACUCAGCUUGGAGAAUAAAGCAGUAGACGCCUUGUCUUGGAUGCCUCCUACAAUUAACCUCGGUAGCAUAACAGCUCCUACAUUGGUUGACAUUCUGGUGACUAAAAAGGAAGUCAAAGCGUAUGAAAAAUUAAGCAAAAUAAUGGAAGAACUACAAGCAAUGGAAGAAGUAACAGAGGGUAAAUUCUCCAUCCGACAAGGUAUGUUAAGAUAUAAGGAUAAGUUUGUGUUGUCCAAAACAUCUACAUUGAUACCCACAAUCCUACAUACUUACCAUGAUUUGGUACUUGUGAGGAAUGUGUAAUAUGUCAGAAGAACAAGUCCCUAGUGUAACGAGCAUACUUGUCCAAGGUGUGUUUACCUAUGGCCGUAUGCUCCGAUUAGCCCCAAUUUACCUUGUCUUUAUGUCUUGCACGUAGCUUAGGUAGUUGCUUUCAAUUUCAAGUCGAUAUGCUUGGGUGUGACGUUUCGGCAUUUUCAUAUGUUAAAAAUGUACUAUAGGGGAGGCAUACCUGUUGAAUCCCUGCCCAAGCCUUGUCGUACUCUUUGCAGUCUAUGCUUUCUUAUUGCAAUUGACAGUCUUCAAUGCUUGUUUUAACAACGUUUUCAAUCAAUUUAAUCAUCUUUCAUGUUUUCUAAAACUAUUUUUCCAAGAACGUGAGGGGAGGUUGAAGUAUGUGUUAAAGUUGUCUGCGAUUUGCAGAUUUUGAUCGGCUGACUUGUUCGCCGAGCUAGAACAAGUGCCGCACAAUCGUUCACAUCGUGUUUGAAGGGUUACACAGUAAAGGAAGAGUAAGAAUUUGAGUGGAGAAACUCCAAUUGGGAUCAACACGUGGGCAACAACAUGGCUUCUCACCAACAUGAGAACUCAAAAGAGACAGCAGAUAUUCUAGAGAAGCCAAUGAACUCUUGGGAUGUGAAUCUGCACUUUCCUGCAAUAGUUUGAGUGUGAAUUAGUUCUCUGAAAACACCUGCAGAGGAUAAUCCACGGCAAAACAGAAUAACUAUAAAAAAACCACUUGCAAGUAGAAGAAAAAGGAAGUACAUUUAUACCUUCCCUGUCAAAGUGAUAUCCCUCAUCAACGGAUAUGCAUUUCUUUCCAGGAAGUAGCCAACAAUUUUACAAACCCAUGGGAGUUUAGGUUGUAAUAAGAAAACAAUUGUGUCCAACAAUAGAGUUGCAGGUGUGUUAGAGUUCACAGGUGCAGCCAAAAGUUGAUUCCUCAAUUGGUUUCUAUCAAGAACAACAUCAAGUAAGAAUAAUUCGGAGGAAAAAUAAAGGCAACUUAUCAUAUAUAUAAAUAUGAUUAGUCUGAAUUCGUUUGCGGAAGGUAAAAAAACCUUUAUGUCAAUUAUAUAUAUCUGAACAAAAUCUAAGAAAUAUAUCACUUUUCAACAAAAGAAAUAUAUCAUAUACAAUUAAAGGAUCAUAGCAUAGAAAGCCAACAAAAUCAACAAUGAUAGAUCAAACAUCUGUUUUUCCAUUCAAAACGUUAAAAAGGAUAAGUUUUUAAUAAGGAAUGUUGAAAUGGAAAAAACUAAUUACCUAUUAUGGUGUACAAUCUGGAUGCAAGCAUAUGCAAAUUUCUUAACUCUGUAAUCCACUAAGGCCUUGUUAAGUACAUAAUCCUUGCUAGCGAAAAUGCUCAACAUAUCCCCUAUAUAUGUAAGAGAGAGAAAGGUUAGAAAGUACUAACACUAAGAGAUAUGUGCUAUCAAUUAGAAACACUUUAAGAUGACAUUAUCAAUUAGAAAACCAAGUAUUAAGCAACAUAAGGGAAAAUAACAAACAAGGGCACCACAGUGGUUCAGAAACCAAUCAAUAUUUCCAUUUGUCACUUUUAUAAUAAUUUCCCAAGGGAAAAUCCUCAUAAUAAGCUUGAGUACCACCUAAUAACGUGUUCAAAUGUUACCAUAAGCAAAAAUGAGUGAUCCUAAAAUUCAUAUGACAAGGAAAGUCGUCAACUAGCAACCGCCAAAUAACAGUUAUAUGGCUAGAAUUAGUUUUCUCCAACUUCAAGAAAAUAAAACAUAUUAAAACAAAAGGAAUUAUGGUGCAAAAUAAUGAAUAUGCCUGCAAAGGUAAGAAGUUUCUGAAGGUAAAAAUGGUCAAUAAAAAACAACAUAUAAUUUGACGUAAAUCAAAGUAGAAUUAUUUCUCGCAAUGAAUUCUCUGCCAAUAAUGGCUAAGAGAAGGGGUAUUUAUUGAGAAUUAGUUGGCCAGGCAGAAAUCAUCUAGGGCAUAGUAUUGUUUUAGGUCUGCGACAUUAAAAACAUAAUGAAUGUGUAAGUCUGGUGGUAGUUCUAUUUUGUAAGCAUUAUCUCCGAUCCUCUUUAGGACACGGAAUGGUCCUAAUUGUCUGUCUUUUAGUUUGUUGUAUGUUUCGGUUGGAAAUCGAUUUUUUCUUAGGUGAAUCAUUACUAAAUCUCCCUUGGUAAAGGUAGUUUGUCUUCUUUUUCUGUCUGUUGCGUCUUUGUAGGACUGAGUUGUUUCUUUUAGGUGAUUGUGGACUUCUUCGUGUAAAUUCUGGAUUUUUUCUAUCAUCUUUUCUGCCUCUGAUAGUUAGGGAACUCAACACAUUUUACUUGACCUAACCAAGAUGGCUCUUUGUAUGUAUAUUGCAUGUGUUGUUUGUUUUUUCUAUAGCUCUUGAUUGUCUCACUUUUUUACGUUUUGCAUUUGCAAUUCUCUUUUCUUUCUUUGGUAUGCAAUGUGGUAACAAGGUCUUGCUAGAGCCGGUGGGCUAACCUUUCUAUGGUUCUAAACUUAGUUUCUAAGUUUGAUUGCUCCCUUCGGAGUGACAACAAGCCUCGUUUUCCCCUACUAUGGAAUGGGGAGGAUUCAUUUUCUUUUCAAAGCCCUCGUCAAACUCAAUGCUAAGUUUGACUGCUCCCUUCAAAGUGACAACAAGCCUUGUUUUCCCCUAAUGUGGAUCGGGGAGGAUUCCUUCUCUUUUCAAAGCCCUCAUCAAACUCGAUGUUGUGUUUAGAACGCUAAGAGUAGGUGGUCUGGUUUUGGUUAGGCCAAAAGUGAAGUUUUCCCCCAUUUUUUAUGGGCUUUUUCUAAUGUAUAUUGGAUAUGUUGUUUGAUUUUUUUUAUAGCUCUUGAUUGUCUUACUGUUUUAUGUUUUGCAUUGUCAAGUCUCUGUUUUCUUUCUUUGGUAUGCAAUGUGGUAACUAGGUCUUGCUAGAACCGGUAGGCUAACCUUUCUAUGGUUCUACAUUUAGUUCCUAAUUAAGUUUGAUUGCUCCCUUCGGAGUGACAAUAAGUUUUGUUAAUGUCGACCCUUUUCUAAAGGGAUUUAGUUCACUGUGGCUAGGCAAGAGGUUUCUAACUCAUGUUUGACAAGACAAAUUUGUUAAAACCAUCUUAGUUUUUAAAGAGUGCCUCCUAUCCCUUUUUUACUCUAUCUAGGCUAGGUUUGGACUAAGUGCAUCAUAGGUUAGUCACGACAAAGCAACAAAGGAAGACAAAGCUAGAAAAGUAUUCAUGCACUUAUUUAUUAUACAUGCAAUCAAGCAUUCACAACAUACAUACCAUUUUCUCAAUCAUGCAUUCACACCUCAAUAAGAAAUAGCUAAAAGGAGCUUAAAACAAAAAAGACAGCCGCUUAUUCUCAAAUUUCAGCACAUAUACUCAUCAAAAUUUAGAAUUUCACAUUGCAAACCCGAGCUCAGUGCUCAAGGGUUGCCAAUCAUGCUUUUUAUGCAAGAUCUAAUUAAGCUAAGAAGGUAUAAUGCUCAUUUUGUAUGGAAAGAAUUCUGAAAUUUUUUAAAAUUUGGGCAAAAUUUGAACCCCGAAGUUUAGACUAAACAUGCAAGCUAAGCAAGCUAUUACCCACACCCACUCAAAAAAUUGCUUUGUAUGUCCUAAAAGCUUUUGAAAAUCAAAGUAAAUGGAGAAAAAUAAGGGGGGAACUUUGGACUCCCCUAGAAGGAUCGACAUCCUUGACUUUGGUUUGAAGCUUGCAUGGAUAAACCUUUUCAUUCCUUUUUAAUUGAUUAUUCAUCGUUGUUCCUGAAAAUCAAAGGAAAUUCUCUCAAUUUUAUAUAUUACUAAAAUUAGGAUACAUAUAAGUCUUAACUAGUCUAAUAGCACCCUCCAUUCAUCUUCCCCUACACUGGCUAUGGUAUCAAAAUUUUCAAUUAAGUAAUACGUCUACUAACAAACUUGAAAACAAAAGACAUCACACUAAAAAACACAAACAUCACUUUAACCCAACAGAAGCUGCUCUUUUUACCCUUGCACUCACUAUCACAUUACUAUCAUGUUUGUCAACUGUCAAACUAACUCUUUUAAGUUAUUUAGUGUGACUACAAAGUUAUUAACACCAUAAUCUUAAUUAAAACCUUUUAAUAAACAAAUGCCAAGUUACUACUCAACAAUGGCAAGGAAUUCAAAAAACAUGACUGUAACGACCCAACUUUUCUAAGUAAGUCGAUGUCAUUAAUUUCAAAUAAGGACCUGAGUUUACACAAAAUCUCAAUCUCAAACAAUUUCAAAGUCUCAAGAAAAACAAAAAUUUAUAUCUGGGCCCUGUUUAAAAUAACCAGCACCUUCAAGACAAAUUUACUAAUUCGUGAAUACAGUUCAACUAUAAAAUUUUCUAAACAAUCUCAAGUACUAAACAAAACACGUGAAACAAAACAUUUAGUGGAAGCAAUUUAAAAUAACCCCUAUGGCAAUCACGCUUCCUUUCUGCCCCUCGCCGGUUUGGCGUCUUUAUUACCUUUGCCUGAAAAUUAAACAUAAGGAGGGUGAGUAUAAAAAUACUCAGUAAGAGACCCUCUACUGGUCCCGUCAGGGGAAAAUAAAUUGUUAACAUUCUAUUGGGACACCCUCUACAGUCACAGUCUUGUGAUCCCGUAGGAUGCACAUUUCAGUCUAACACCCCGAAGGACGUACAUUUUAGUCUAGUGUUCUGCAGAAACACAUAUCAGUCUAAUGCUCCUGAAGGUGCAAAAUAAUUGGUGAUCCGUGGGACACCUACAAGGCACACAUCCCAAUAAAAGCUAACAAUUUUUCCCCUCAGUCCAUUCUAAACAUCUUAACAGUCAUUCACAGAUCAGUUAAACAUUCUCAUCACGUAAACUCCUUAUUUAACCUCAAACAGUCGUCUUACUCUAAUUUAGUCCAAGGUCAAUAAAAAAACAUAUCAUUACAUCAGUUAACAAACUAAACAAUCAUAACCUCCUCCUCAGUCACCAAGGGCACCACCAUGACGUUUCUUCCGUUCACAAGCACACAACAUAACAGUAGAUUAUACACUCAGUCUAGACAACAAUCAAUCUACUAAUCAAAUCCACACUUUAUAUAAGCAACAUCUACGAGAUUCAGUCUUUUCCACAUCCUUAUCUUUGUACACAUACAUAACCAGACAGUCACAACAUAUACUCAACCACAGUCUACAUCAAUCCAUGCACAUAUAUGUAUUAAUUUCUCACAGUCAAACAUAGCAAACAUUAAACUUUAAGUCAAUGCCCAAACAUACAUCAUAACAGUCAUCUCUACUCAGUUCAAAUAUAAUAAUACGGUCCAUACAGUCAAUACAUCUUAAUAAGUCAUUAUAUCUUAAUUUUGUUGUUGAGUCUAGUAGAAAAUCUCUUACUUUCAAGUUAGUUAAGCUCCUUAACCACGUUGAAGUCUACGAAGAACGAACCUAAACAUUAAGACAAUUUCUCAAUAAUUCUCUUCAAGGCAUCAAUCAUUUAAAUUCAACCCAAUGUGAUUUAUUUUUUACAACUUACCCAAAUCUUCACGAAACGAGUUCCAAUUAGAAUCAAUUGUUUGCUGUGAACCCAAGGAAUUCGAGCGUUACCUUCAACCUAUAAUCGAACAAGUAAACGAUUUAUCCAACCAAUUAAUCCAGCAAUAUUACUUGAGUUUAUUUUGGAAACAGUUACAAAUUUCAUAACUUCAAUCUUACCAAUCAAAAUUUAAUGACUCGUGGCAAAGCAGGAACGACAGCGAACAACCCAAUCGAAUGGCGUGGGUUUGCUACCUGCGGCAGAACGAAGAAGGAACUCGACGCGCAGAAAGUUGGAUCUGGGGUCUUUAGUUCGGUUCACGGUAGCGAAUGAAAACCUGAUUGCGCAGACGUCAAAGGUGUUAUUCGCGGAAGAAGUCGAGCAGCAGCUUUGUGAAGAGACGACGUGCGAGGAGAGACUGUAUACAGACGGACGGAGAGUCGCGCGACAGUGCAGAAAACGGAGGAGAAAGGAAUGGGCGGCGGCUGGGCUUGGCUUCGACGGAGACAGAGGCGAUUAGGACGGGGCACGGCGACGCAGAUCUGGACGACGGCGCGGAGACAGAGGUUGCGCGGCGCUGGGCAGAGGGUCACACGGCGCUGGGCGAAGGGUCACACGGCGCUGGGCGGAAGGUCACACGGCGGCCUUGCUUCGCGAACAGAGAUGGCGGUCGACGGUUGCAGCGGCGGCUGGGUAUGGUAGAAAAGAAAGAGAAACGGAAGAAGAAUAGGGGCGGCGACCGUGGAUUGGAGAAGAAAAGAAGGAGGAAAGCGAUGGUGGUCGGUUGGAGGGUGCGGCUGGAGGUAGGGAUCGGUGAAGGAGAAAAUAGAAAAAGAAAAUGAAGGGGAAAGGGGGGUUGGGCGCGAGAGGAAGAAGAAAGGAAAAAAAAUUCUGUUUUUUUUUUUUCUUUUAUUUAAAUUAAAUAAUAAAACUAAAAUAUAAAUAAAUAUAUAUAUAAUUAUAUUAUCACAUUUUCAAAUCUUCUUUCUCCCCCUUCAACAUAUUUUCUUCAAAAAAAUAAAUCUUGUACAAAUCGAAUAAUUUUCUUAAAAUAAAUUACCUUCGAGUUUGGGGCGUUACAAUGACAGCUAUAUUGUAACUUGGCACUUGGGGACUUUAAUGGUGUCAAUAUUGUAACUUCUGGUGCCAUGACAAAUAUUGGUGACUGUCAAGAUAAGUUCGCAUAGCCACCGAAAGAUACAUCGUUGCUUUUGAAAAAUGGCAAGACUCUAAAUGAUAUAUGCAACAUUAUUUUGGUUAUAUCCAAUCUUUUUUUAAGGCUAUGUACUUGAAGAUUUUAAUCAAUAAAUAAAAUGAAGUUUAAUUUUUAAAAUAAUAACAUUACAAUGGGAUGGCGAUUGGAAUUGAUUACUUUGGUUAAAAUUUAAGAUUAGAUUAAAAAAAUCAAUUAAUAGAUAAUUCCAUCUAAUCAAAAUAACUAAAUAAAAGACGAGAUUUGAAAAUAUAAUAUCCUAAUAUACACUAAUAGACUUAUAUUAAUAGAUAAUUUCCUGCCGAUGAAAAAUUACUAAAGUUGUACUAUAUUUUAUAAAUAUUUUAAAACAUUACAUAAACACUAAUUAAAGUUGGGUUUAGUAGCAAAAGGUUACAAAUUUAUUGACACCUUCUUUUAGGAAAAAAAAAUACCUUGACAUGAGGUAAACUAAAUUUGUAAUCAGCGUUGAAAUCUUUACUAUAUUAAAUGGGCUCGUGGAGAAAAAAUUAUAUACAUCUAUUUUAUUCUUAAAUUGUCGAAAAAAAAUUAUAUUACCUUUUGUGAUCUAACGUAGUUGUGAUUUUUAUAGUGUAAGUGUCCAUUUUAAUGUUUGGAAAGAUGAUUUUUCCAAUUUUUUAGUUUACAAAAUAAAGUUCUAUAUUUUAAAAAAUAAAACCUUAUGUUGAAUAUGUGUAACUAAUGUUGAUAGGAUGUGAUUGGUUGAUCUUCAAGAUACGAUGCAUUCUGUUUAGAGUGGAGAUGGUUGCACACACAUCAAAUUUGCGUUGAUUCCUCCAAAUUUACAUGUGAAAUGUAAAUGUAAAAGAAAAACAAAAUAAACUCUUGCAGUUACACAUUAAAAAAAAAAAACGUCACGAAAUUCCAAAGUUCAAAAGAAAACAAACACACACAGGGAUUUAAUUGAUUCAAAGUAGUAACGAAUGGUGAAAAAAUGCAUCAUUUCUUGUGAUUUCACAUUAACAUGUUAGAAUAAAAAAUUAUCGUAUUCUAUAUAUUACAAUAUUGGAUCAAAUAUUAAUACAUUAAUUUAAUUAUUUAAUUACUACAACAAUGAAUUUCUUUUUCUUUUUUAAAUAAUAAUUUUACCAUUAAUAUUAUAUAAUAUUUGUUUAUUAUAUGCUAAAGCAUAUUUAAAAAUUAAAUAGAAUUAAGAGAUUUCACGUGAAUUUAUGCACAUGUUUCAACUGAAAAGAUGGAAACAAUAGUCACAAAUUAUUUUUUCCUAAAACAAAACAUUCAUAACCAAAUCUAAAUAUGCACUUUCAUAACUAAGGACCAAAACUCAUAUUACGUAGAAUUGAGCAUGGUUUAAAUGAAAUUAUUAACAAAAUACUUACACUUUACACCAGGUUUUUUGGCAACAUACCACUAGUAGAAAAGUGGUAUACGAUGACAGUUAUUUACUGUCGUAAACGAAAUUCGCGACAGUUAUUUUCAGUAAUAGAAGCGGGAGUCAUGGAAAGUCCUUCGAUGAUAGUUUUUAAAAACUGUCGCAAUAAGUUAUUUUAUGACAUGAAAUAAAUGUCGUUAAUCAGAAUUCAAUGACGUCAAAUAACUGUCAUAUUUUAUUUUAUGACAACAAAUAACUAUCAUCAUUUGUGGAUUAACGACGGUUAAAUAAAUGUCGCAAAUUCAUUUAUUGUGACAUUUUUUAAUUGUCAUGAAUAUGUUAAUCGCGACAGUUUUUUUAUAUAAAAAUGUCAUUGUUUUGCUAUUGACGACAUUUUUUUCCUGUCACAUCUAGGGCAAUCGUGACAAUUUAUUUUAUUAAACAACUAUCAUCGUUUUCGGAUUGACAACAAUUAAUAACUGUCACAAAUUCAUUUAUUACGUCAUUUAUUUUCUGUUGCAAAUUUCUCAAUUUACUACAGUUUUUUCCUGUUCUCCUUGUCGCUCCACCAUUACACAAACCAUUUGAAUGACAAUAAUGUAGCUGAGAAUGACAAUUUUGAAUUUAUAAUAUUGACACCCAUAUAGAAAAAAGUAGCCAACACUUUAAUAUAUAUACGAUAUAAUACAAUUUAUAAUAUUUGUACAUUUCCAAUCAAGUGUCAACAAUUUACAAGUACGGAAUCCCAACCCUUAAUCAAAAAAUAUUUUAAAUAGCAUUAGAAUACAUCUAACAAGAUUUUCUGCAGAAGCAUAAACGACCAACCGAGAAUGUUCGUCUCUGAAAAUGUUCUUGGAAAGUAAACUUAUGAAGUUGUUGACUCCAGUUGAACCUACAAAGACAACAUGAAUAUAAGCAUCCAUCAUAGGACAAGAGAGUACAACUCUUAUAGAAACUUUCAACAUUGAACAUUACCUAUCACUACAUGCGUCGAUAAGAGAAACAACUACAUAGCAGAGCACAAAUGUAGAAUAACAGCAUCACCGUAACAUCCACUUGGUCUACAAUAUUGAAACUUUUUACAAAUUACAACUCUUGUAUCAUUGCUCUUUAGAAAAUUUACCUGGAUAUAAAUAAGUAAUCUACAAGGAAAUUAUUGAAUAAGUAAUCAUAAGUAAUAAUCGAGAUGAAUGAAACUUAAGAAUCCAUUAGUAGUUCACUGUCAAUAAGGUUGGAAGAAACGUUAUCCGAUAAGAACCGAAAAGUUUCCAUCUUAAGGAGUCAAACACUUUCAUCAGAAAUAAGACAGUUUUCAUGUGUAAUCCACUUCAGUUAACGAAGCCAAGAAAUAUUAAGGUACUAGGAAAAUGAAACUAGAACAACUUGUAUCAUUUAUGGCUUAACAGAAAUUAAAGGUCUCCUAGUUUCUUAUCCAAAAAAAGCUCUACCAAUGAGUAUGACAUAAAAUCCAUGACAAUUUACAAAAGUAGCAAUUUAGCAAUAGCAAUAAGUACAGACAUAACACCCAUGACAAUUUACACAAGUAGCAAUAGCCAACCAGUACAAGCAUACUAUCCAUGAUAAAAAAGAAAGGUAUCUAUUACUCUUAAUCCUAUAAUAUGAACGACAUUAACUAAGAAGGGACCAUUGACAUGUACCUGAUGUUCUAAUUCCAUGGAGAUCGAAGUCCCGAAUGAGCUUCCACAAGUUAACAUCCUACAAUACAAUACAUUUUAGUUAAAUCAUAUAGCAACUCAUUAAACAUAUAGAGAAGGACUUCCAACUGACAUUUGGAAAAGAGUUGGGUUGAUCAAUUUUUGUGGCAUGGGGAGCAAUGUUAUCUUGAGCAAAUUGUUUAACACUUUCUUUGAACUGCAAUCAGUUAAUCAAGAAUUUUGAUAUAUUGACAUUAUAAAUGAAACUACAUACAAAUCAUUUUUGUAAUAAACUAAUUUGAACCAUUUACUAUCAUUUAAAUAAAGCGAGAGAGAAAAGAGGAAGCCUUAAAAGCAAGAUUCUUAAUAUAUCCUCAUAAAAAAAAAAAAAAACUUGUUCAAGUGUCAAAGUCGACAAAAAAAAAAAAAAACUGCAACUGACAAAAACGAAAGAACUAUGAUUAUUUGAUGAUGUUUGGUUCAAUAAGUAGGAAUGUAGCUUGGAACCUUUUCUCAUUUUCUCCAACUGCCAGAACAUUCAAGACAUUUUUUAAAGAUUCACAACACUCUAUCACUUCACAUUUCAUGUACUCAUCUGCACAAAUGUGCUUCCAUAGGUCAUAAUCUCUGGAUUAAAAUUCAACAGCCAUAUCCAAUGCUAUUGGAAUAUGUAGCAGUAUAAAAAUUGUUAACAGUUGCUAUAAGUAUGCCUAAAAAUUUCAACAGCCAUAUCCAAUGCUAUUGGAAUCUGUAGCAGUAGAAAAAUUGUUAACAGUUGCUAUAAGUAUGCCUAAAAAUUUCAACAGCCAUAUCCAAUGCUAUUGGAAUCUGUAGCAGUAGAAAAAUUGUUAACAGUUGCUAUAAGUAUGCCUAAAAAUUAAAAGAAAACAUAAAGGGACUAUAUUGACCUUGCUGGCUAGUAAAAAGGGAGGCAUUUGGAUUAUUUUUAGGCUGGGAUAUGAGGAAUAAGGAACUAGCAAGAGAUCCAUCUCUCUGUUUCAUUUGAAAAUUUAGUUUAGUUUUAAAAUUAUAAUUGAAAGGAUGCUUGGAAUGAAGAAUUCUAAUUUUUAGGCAAGAGUUCUAAUAAACUCUAUGGGUGUAUCUCCUAAUCCUCCGUUUCUAACUUUAUUGUCUUUCCCAAGAGAUUUGACAAGAUAAUUUUAUCUGAUAUUGAAGAAAUUUCACCAAUUGUGGGCUGCAAAUAGUUCAAAUAGAACUAGUAUUGGAAUAUAUAGAAUAUACAAAAUACCCUAGCCCAUACGAAACAAAAGAACUCCAAGACAUAGAAGAAGCAAAAGUCAUUAAAAGAAAUGGAUGAAGUGCAAACAUACACAAGACAACUAGCAGUAACUACCACAAUAUGCUUAUGAACCAACAACUGAAGUAACCUAACUAAUAACAAAGUCAACCUAUCACAAAAGCACAAGUUUUCAUUUUUCAACCAAUAGAGGCAUGCCUGCAAAUAACCAUCAUCUUUUGUAGACUUUAGAAAGAUGUCUGACAAAGCAGACAAUAACUUGGAGAACAGGACUUAAGUAUAGUCCGGAAAUAUGAGACUACAUUUUUCAACUAAAAGGCUAAUUCCUUAAACAUCAUGUAAAUCAAGUCCCUUUGAAUUGCAUAAACAUGGCACCAACUCCAUUGCUGAAUGAAUAAAGCAUAAACUACCUUAAUAAAGCAUAAAUUUACCCAAAUGCAAUAUUGUGAAUUAAUUGCAACAUCUUUAGUGAACAUAAAGGGGCUAUAUUGACCUUGGGAAAGACAAUUUGAAUGAAUAAAUCAUAAACUACCUUAAUAAGUUUAUCAGAUGCAACGUAUCAUUUCGCUUCUUCAAGACUCAUCUCUGCAUUUAAGUUUAGAAUUAGAUGUUAGUGUGAGUAAUCAUACUUAGGAAAAGAGAAUAAAGCUUUUCAGCCUACUCGUGUCUUGACGUUCUAGAACUGAAUUCUACAUCUUGGAUACUGGAUUCACAAUAACACUAAAAUAUAUACAAUUGGAACUCAAUGUAGAAAUAACAUACAAGUCGAGGUGGAGAUAGCUUCAUGUUUUCAUCUUUGCAAGCAAAACGGAUAUUGGUAAGUUUUCUUUAGUUCUUACAAGAUUAACCUAGAAAAAAGAAAAUUGCUUAUCAUGUAAAUCAAGUAGAAAUUACAACUUCGAUCCAAAGUCUAAACAUAAAGUUCUCAACUUACAUCUAGAUUUGAUUCCCUAGAAUGUUCUCCAAUAAUCAUUCCAUCAUAAAUCUGGAACAUAAAUUAUCAGGAAAACUGAGCAGAACAUUUUCGAGGACCCAUAUAUUAUCUACAAUGAAAAGAUAAUGGAUCCUCAGUCUAAUGGAGACAACAAAAUAUACAUUUAGACCAACUCAUAGCAUAAAAGAUAAUAGGUCUAUGAAUCAAAUGAUUUUAGGGUAUCAAAAAUAGCUCCUAAACAAACGUAUAUAUAAUUGAACAUCCACGCUUCCUGCCUAUGAAAACAGGGAAACAAUUAAUUCACGAGAUUGAACAUUUUGAGAAACUUCUAUCCAAAAGGAGGAAAGAGGGGUGGAAAGUGUACACUAAAAAACCAUUAUGCACCAUAUAGAUGAAUUGACAUGACUUAGCUACAAAUACUUGUGCAAACUGCAAAAUGACAGCAACUAGCACAAUAAAAACAAAUCAAACAAUUUUCUAAAUGGUGAAUUGCCAAUUGCCAAACUAAACUUCAUUACAACAAGUCUAAUAUACUAAGUUAAAAAUAGGCUUCAGUGUGUGUAACAAUCAGAUCAUAGAACACACUCGCACAAUGCAAAAGAAAAAGAAAAAAACUUUUAAAGCUUCAGACACAUAUCGUCAAACACCUUACAAGCACAAACUAAUAUCAUAUUUUCUCAUAAUCUCACAAAAAAAAAAUCUUGUUUAAGUUUCAAGAUAAAAUUGAUUGAUGAUGUUCUUUUUUAGAAGAUUUCAAGAAAUAAAUAAGAGAAUACUUCAACUUUUCUGCAUGAUUCCAAAAUCCUAUCAAUCAAGAAAUCUUGUUGUAAUCCCAACAAGAAAAACUUAUGUUCUUCCUCCGUCCACAGUACAACAAGAUAAAACCUAACGAAAAUCCUAAAUGUAUUAAGUGAAAAUCCCCACAAAUUAUCAGUCAUUUACACAACUACUCCAAAUCAUAUCUUAAAAUCACUAGAUAAGCACCAAUUCAAAGAAAAAUGGAGAAAAUCAAACCUUGCUAGCAUGUAGACGUUUUUGUUAAAUAUUGAAUCCUGAAAAACCAUUCUCAGCACACUAAGAAACAUUCAUAGAAACAUAAGAUGUGACAAUCAAGACCAAGGCAGAGUUGGAGUUCAUAAAAAUUUAAUAGUUUUUUUUUUUUUAGGAAUUUCAUCAAACACAUGGUGGGUAAAUUCAAAGUUGUUCAGGCCAUAAGAACAUCCCAAUAGCAAAUGCUCUUUUCCCUUAAGGGUACCAUCAAAACAGAGUCCAUAUUGUUUUAGAAGCAAAUUCAACUUACCUUCCCCCAUUUUCUCAUAAUCCCUCUUCGUGUACUUAGGAUAAUGAAGCAACAUUUGAACACCCACCUUCAAAAUUCAAACUUCCACCAUGAAAAAAAGAAAAAAAACUCACCCCUCCUUCUUCUUCUGACUUGGGUAAGAAGAAGAGGGGUAGUUGAAACUCAUGUAUAAAGACAUUGGAUUGUUGGAAUGUUUAUGAAAGGAAAAUACACAAUAUUCACAAAGAGAGAGACAAAGAGAGAAGGAAUGGCAGCGCCGGAGAAGACGAAAACGAUGGACACAUCGGAGCGAAUAGAUGGCCACGCCAGAGUGAACAGACGGCCAGGAGUAGGGGCGAAUGGUGACGAGGCCGGAAGAUGGUCGGAUUGGAGAUGGAAGACGAUCAGAUUGGAGAUGGAGAUUUCGCGGAAGAAUUGGGGAAAAUAAUAAGGGUUUACGAUUUGGGGAAAUAUUUUCUAAAUUUCUAAUCUUUAUUUAUUAUUUUUUUAAUAAAAAUAUAUUAUUUUAUGUUUUUUUCUAUGACAUCAAAUAACUGUCGCGGAAUGUAUUAUCCGAAAAAUUCCGUCUUUUCCCGCCAAAAACGCGAAAUUUUACAUUUUGUGACAGUUCUUUUUUCUCUCUCUCAUUUUCUGAUAUACAUAACUGUCAUAGUAGACAGUUUUUCUUCUAGUGUACAUAGUGAGAAAAUUCAAAAUUUACCCUCUUACUUGUAUCUUUUCAAUAAAAAGUGCAUCUUAGUUGUAAUUAUGUCAAAAUAAAAAAUAAAAAAAUAACUCGUCAGUUAACGUGGUUAUCCAUUAACUGAUUUGGGUGAACUUUCUAAAGAUAAAAAUAACAAAAACAAACAAACAAAAGACUAGAACAUGUUAUUUAAUUAUGUAAUUACAACUUCCCUUUCUCCUCCGUGAGAAAAAAAACCAUUUCUCUAAAUUUCAUCUAUAUAUGUGUAUUGAUCAAAUGACCCAUAUCAAUAAGGACACAAAAUUGGCAAAGAACAAAUAAAUUAAAAUGGCCAAUAACUCUUGUUUCAUUACUUUCUCUCUCAUUGGAGUUCUUUUGUUCACCAUCAUUUCAAAUGUGGCAUCAUCUAACGACGUUGUUUCUACCAUCUGUUCAGAAAUCUCAAAUCCACAAUUUUGUUUAAGUGUGUUGAAAUCUGCAGGCACUACAGAUCUAAAAGGCUUGGCUGUAUACACCUUAAACCUUGCUCAUUCAAAUGCUGGCAAAUCUUUGAUCCUAGCCAACUCACUAGCAAAAGCCACCACCAAUCCUCAACUUAAGCAACGAUAUUCAUUUUGUGCUGAGAGCUAUGAUGAAGUUGUUGGUGACAUUGAAAAUGCUCAAAACGACUUGGCACUUGGGGACUUUAUUGGUGUCAUUAUUGUAACUACUGGUGCCAUGACAACUCUUGGUGAUCACUGUCAGAAUAAGCUCUUGCAGCCGCCGAAGGAUACAUCGUUGCUUUUAAAGAAUAGCAACACUCUAGAUGAUAUAUUUAGCAUUAUUAUGGUUAUAUCCGAUCAUCUUUGAGGGUUAUGUACUUGAACAUUUUGAUCAAUAAAUAAACUGAAGUUUAAUUUUUAAAAUAAUAUUACAAUGUGAUGGUGAUUGGAAUUGAUUACUUACUUUGAUUAAACUUGAGAAGAUAAAGAAAAUCAAUUAAUAGAAACGUUCACCGACACACAUUGUCAGCACGUCGGAGAAAGCCUAAACUUUUUUUUCUUUUCUUUUACGUUCUGUUUUCUUUUCUUUGUUUGCCAUCAUCAUCAUCAUCAUCUUCUUCUUCUAGCUUGUUACGUUAUGUUUCAAUUGCAUACUUCUGUUAUUCUUGUAAUUUCUUCGUGGUUUUCUUUUUAACUUUGUGUUUCAGUGUGGAUUCAUAAACACAUUUUUCGGUGCUCUGGAUUCUGGAUCUGUUAUGAUUUGAAAGGGUACAGUGAAGUGAAAAGUUGAAAUGGAAAAGAAAAAAGAAGAAAUGAGGACACUUCUCAUGGUGGUGGCAGCAAAGACGAACGGCGACGACAACACAACUCUCAUCCUCUCCCUAUAUCUUGAUCGAUUUUGGGUUUAUUUUCGUUUUGCAUUCUGUUAUGUGUGGAAGGGAGAAUAAAUAGUGUGGACUUUCCCCGACGUCUUCGAAAACGUUGGGAAAUUUACCUUUCGUCGACGUAUGUAGUAAACACGUCGGAGAAAGUUUAAAUAAUAAAUUCAUUAUUUAAACUUUUCCCGACGUACUCCUGUCAUACGAGUCUAAAUUAAAUUUAAUGCGUUCACCUUCGGCGAUGUGUGUCAAGGUGACGUUGGAAAAAGUUUAAACACUAAUGCAAUUAUUUUAAAUCACAUAUGUUAUCGCUUAUAAGGCAUAGGAGUCUAUUAACGAUAGAAACCUAUCUUGAUAGGUUUUGCUACAUUUACCAUUUUUAAAAAACAUUCUUAUAUACUUAACUAUUAUUCCUAAAAUUGCUAACCCAUUAUACUUUCCCUAAGUUAAAUGUAUAAUGUCAAAAGUAAGUUUACUACGAAGGUAAUCUAUGUGACCCUUUUAUCCUAACGUAGGAAGUUUGUUCCACUCCAUACCAUUAUUGAACUAAAAGGAUUAAGUGUGUAUUAAUAUGUUUAAACAAGUAUAAUUAUAGCAAAAUCUAUAAGUGAUAUAUUGAUAUUAGCAAUACAAUACGCGUCACAUAUGCAAACAUUUUGUGUCUAAUCGUUGUAUUUACAAUUAACUCCAUUAAAAUAUUACAAAUAGAAAUAGAACUCUUUAACCUAAGUUCAGUUAGGAUCACAAACUACGAAACGAAAGCAUGGAACAAAUUUAAUUUGUUUUUUUUUCUUUAAAGGAAAUUUUGUGCGUAGCACAUUAUAUUUUUUUCUUUCCUUUAAAAAACAUUAUUGAUCUUAUGAUAUUUGGCAGAGAUUGUAGUUUUUUAAGAAUGUAAAUAAUGUAAAUAAUGUGCCAAAUAAUUGAAAACAUGUUAUCCGAAACAGAGAAUGGUUAAGAAAUUGUUGACAUUUAGUCAAAUUAAUAAAUAAUUCAAAUUUAGGUUUGAUUUUUGAAUUUGAAACUAUAGUAAAUUAGAAGUGUUUUGAAACAGUGUUUACGAAAAGAUUUUUAAUUUUAAACAGCAUUAUAGUGCGUAAACAUUUUUAAUUUUAAACAGCAUUAUAGUGCGUAAACAUUUUUAAUUUUAAACAGCAUUAUAGUAGCUAUAGAUACCAUAUAAUAGUCUACACAAUCUUUGUUCCAAAUGAUCAAUUCGAUUUUUUAAAUCAAGUCUAAUGUUUUUUUUUUUUUUUUUUGCCUAUUUCUUACCAUAAUUUACAUUUUUUGUAAGUAUAAUGGUUGAGUGCAAAAAGAGAGUUGACUAGUAAGUGCAAAAAGAGAGCUUACAAGCUUCUGCAAAAGCUAAUCAAGCAACCUAAAUCAUAAACGAGGAGAAAAGUUGAUUGAUUAAGCUUUGUUGUGGUAAAGAAGAAGUCAAAGUGAACAUCGAACGUUCUUCACUCUUAAAGAACAUCGCGAACAGAUAGAUUAUAUAUACUUUUCUGGAAUUGACCCAAAAAAUUCAGUCCCAAUGUAUUUUAUGGUGAGAUGCAUAGUUUAACUAAACCGUGUUAUUACAAAAUUUUCAAUUACUAGGAACUCUUAAUGAAACGAAUACAUUAUUUUUAUAAUUACGAGGUAAAAUGGAAAUAUACAAACUACUAAAAAAAGCUGCAAAUCCAUUAUUGGGAUUCAAUCUACUCUCCAAGCAUGUUCUUGAAAUGAGAGUUUUUAAGCAGCUACAACUUGCUUAUGUGUAAAAGCAAAACCCUUUUCAACGCCUGCCUUCAGUUUUGGCUUUAGAGCUUCAAGUGCUUUUUGCCCCUACUCAGAUAAACCCUGAAGAUCAAAUGUUACAAAGGCUUCAAUUCCACAUGCAAAAAUCAUGUUCAUGAACCAAAAGCACCUUAAGCUUCUCUUCGAUAUCUUUGAGCUCACUGUAUAAAGAACUGAUUUCUAAAGCAAUCAUCUCUACUAUAUCCUCAUCGUUCCCACUCUCUUUUAAUAAGGCUGGCAUGAUAAUCACAACAAAGAAGAAAAAACUAAGAUAAAUUUAACAAAUUUUAUGUUGGGAAACUUUUUUAAGAACAACUACUUAUAAGCCAACCUUAGCUUUGGCCUCACAUUCCUUGAAGUUUCUAAAAGUAGAUACCACCUGUCCGGGCAACCCACACCAACCAACCAAGAGUAAGUUAGUGUGAAAGACACUUAUUUAAGGAAGAAUAUGUAAAAGAGGUCAUUCAAACUGUUACACAUAAUAGUAUUGGAGGCAAAUAACCUUGCCAUAACUCAUCAAGUUCUGAUAUUGAUUGGGCUAGUUUUUGAUACUCUGUGGGGUUUGAGACAAUAUCUGGAUUGGCCAGCUUGACCUAAAUAAUAAUAUCGAUAGUGAUUAUUGUGUAGGAAAAUAUUAAAGCUAUAACUAAAUGAAAAGCAUAAUUAGAAAUACAUCAAAGAUGUAAAUGCAAAUUUCAAAAGUGGAUCUACAGAAUGUAAGGGGAAGAAACUCAAAUACAAUUACUUUAUUAGUUAUACGACUACUAUAGAGAUUCUAGAUACACCACAGUUCCACGUCCUCUUUUAGGAGGAAAGCAAUGGUGAAAAAUUAAUUGUGAAAACUAAAGAAGGUCCUAUUUAAAUCCUAACUGCAAUAGGAAAGCAAGGAGUUAUAAGGUGAUCACUAUAGCCAAAUCCAAAAUGCAUUCAGUAUUUGUCUUCCAAUUUCAUUAUCAAGUGCAUAGACAAGGUCCCUAGUGAGGAAGUUAUUCGUUCUUUUCUUCAUUUUCUAUAGCUCUAGAAGUAGCUAAAUGGAAUCGUCAAUCACCUAAUCUAUUAAUUUUAAAACUCAAAAGUUCACCGCGGGAUUCUAGUCACUGCUGAAACAGCAUAGAGUUCACUAGUUCCACAGUUAAAUUAACUGCAAAUUGCAUUUCCUGGCAUUUUCAAGAAACAAAAAUGCACAAAUCAUAAUAUGAUGAAGCAGAAAAAUUCUGUGAGCUCGACUUUUCCAGGACAUAUCUUAGCUACUUCUCCUAUUCUAGCUCGAUAACCAUUGUACUUCAACAACCGAAACAUUAAUCCAAUAGUUAACAAUGUUCUGCACUUUAUGCCCUUACAUUUCCAACGACUUAAUGCAUACAUCAGUAGUUAACACAGACACGGGCUCUUAAAUUCAAUGCAAAAUAACAGUCCCAUUCCAAGCAUAAACACCAGAUACAAACAAUUGAUGGACUUGAAUCAGUAAAGAAAUAAGAAUGUUAUUUAACAGCAAAGCACAAAUUAUCGAUAAUUUUUCCACGUCUUCUCAGCAGAUUCCAGUUUCACGAUCAAAUAAGGUUCCUAAAAUAAAGCAAUCACCAUCAUCAUUUUCCACAAAUAUGAUCCGAACUAGUUUUACCACAAAUUAAUUUCUAAUAACUUGAAGAAAAACUCAGUGAACUCAAAGCAUAACGAAACUUAAGUUCUGUUAAAGCCAAUCUAAACAAUAAGAUAUAGACAUAUUGUGUUCUCGAAAGAAAAACAUUUAAUAAAUCUAACAGCUAUGCAAAUAGAGUUGAAGCUCUAACGGGAGGUGCAUAGCAUUUAAGUUCCAGAGAGCAUCUUCUGAAAGCGAUGAGCCCAUAAGAUGAAAAAAGGGCCUCAAGUGAGGAAGAAAGACGCCAUCCAAACAUGAAAAAAGGAAGAAAGGCAAGAUUUUGGCAGUUCCAGGCCUGAGGGAAGCGAACAAGGUGGCGAGGGAGGCAAGGCCCCAAAAUUUAGCAUUGCCAACAAAGUGAAGGUGGAGAAGGAUCUUUCCUUUUAACGUGGCCCUCCGAGAGUUUAUGGACGCCCCCAAUUGGGGCGUUUGGAUGGAGUAAGUUCUUCAAGGGACUUCCUAGAUUCUGUGGAGGUUGUCAAGAAAUUCUACGCAUCAGAUUACAACCACUACAAGGAAUUCGGAUCAACAAACGCAAUUUAACACUAUUGGGAGAUAGAGUAUCUCCCGACACUAUCUCCCGACACAAUAAUAUGAGCAUCGUGAGAUAUAGUGUCUCUCGACACCUAACAUCUACGUCAGAUGUUAUUUACAAUCUCCCGAUGUUGUGUUGUGAGGCAUCAGGAGAUAGAGGCUAACUCUCGACGACAGUAGAAAAGAAAUGAGAGUUGUAGAGUAACUAUCAAAGCUGCUAAUAAAGGGAUGAUAGUUAGGGGAACUCCCGAUGCAUAUCGAGUUGGAUCGUGAGUUUGCAUUUAAAAUCCCCCCUCGAUUUAUAUUUCACAGAUCUGCCAAGAAGGGAAAAGUGAAAUCUGAAGAGAACUACGCCACUGUCGUCCUUGUUGUCUACCCUGGUGCCACUCCCGUCCUACAGUGUCGAUGCUCUACCUUUAAAUUUUGCCCUAAACUCUUUGUUCUCUAGAAUUCUUUAUGUCCUAAGAUCGGUUAUGUUCUUGUUUUUCAUGUGUGUCCUAAAAUCCUUUUGUGUCAUAAGCUAGAUUUAAAUUUUCGUCUAAAAUCCUUUGUUUUUCAUGUGUCCUAAGAGAUUCUCCUAUACUGGUCGUCGGCUCCUCUGCAUAGCCAUAUAGUCUUUUGGAUUUAUUUAGGCUUGGCCUUCUUUCACCUAGUAGGGUGGGUUUACUGUAAAAGCUUCUAAGGUCAGUUCUAGAGGGUUUUUUAGCAGUCUUGAAAUUCCCGAAGGCUAUAGAAAGCAUUUCUUGAAAUUUAAAACUGAAAUUUUGAGGUAAGCAAGUUAAGACAAUUUUAAGAAAAUUUGUAGAAAUAACUUUUCCAUUUUAAUGGCUGGAUUAAAGGUUAUAAGCAUUGAAAGUUGAAUGAAGUUUCUGGAAUUCUCACAGUUUCUGGGCAAGCUUAAGGUAGUCGAGCAUCACGCAGUGAAAGGGUUGGUUAAGAGUGCAUUGUUCAGGUAAGGGGAGGUUAUUUCAAUCAGAUUGAGGGUGCACGACACGGUCAAGGCACAGUCGAGCGACAUGGUUGCGCUCAAGUUGUGCACAUGGCCAUGAAUACCUUGUAAAGUGGAAGAACCUUCCUGUAGAAGAAACCAGAUGAGAACGUGUUAAAGAUCUUGAAGCCUAUAUGUAGAAGAUCGAAGAGCUCAAGUUUUGCCAGUGGACAGAAACACCAACUGUUUAAGUAGGGGAGAAUGUCACGAGCAUGCUUGUUUAGAGCGUUGUUUGCCUAUGGCCGCAUGCCUAAAUACCCCAAAAUCAUCUUGUCUUUAUGUCCUAUGCUUAGUUUAGUCUAUUGCUUUCCUUUUCAUGUCAUAGACCUAGGAUGUGACAUUGCACUCAUUUUCAUAUGCAAGCCAUUCAAAUCUAAAAAAGGCUAAAAUGUACUACAAGAGAGACCAAGUAGUUGAAUCCCAGACCAAGUCUUGUCAUACUCUUUGCAAUUGAGAGUCUUCAAUGCUUUCUCUAAUGACGUUUUCAAUGAUUUUCUUUCUCUCACGUUCUAUAAAACAAUUUUCUCAAGAACGUGAAGAGAGGUACAUUAUACCAUGAGUUUCUCUACAAUUUUUGUAUUUUACACGGCUGACUUGUUGACGAGCAGAACAAGUGCCGCACAAUCGUUUGUCCCAUGUUUGAAAGAUUGCGAUUAUGACAAGUGGUAUCAGAGCCUAAGUUGACUAAUUGACGGUUAAGACGUGAACAUGUCCACAACAAAACAGGUGCUCUACUUAAGUAAACAUGGCUUAUUGGCCCAUGCAGGUUGAUUGGUAGAGCUUGAAGAGCAGAUGCUCUACCUAGUGGAAGUUCCUGACUCCAUCCGUUUCUUUGGAAACCCGUCUUGAAGAAAUUUCUCAGAAAGUUGUUGCUAUUAAUGCGGAAACUGGUCGUCUUGACAAAAUACCCAUUCAAGAGUUGUUGACAAGAGUUGACACUCUAGAGACAAAAGUUGUAAGAACUGGAAACUACGAGCGUGGAGACAGUUCGAUGACCUUUGUUGCCCAUAUAGAAGAAUGCAUGGUUGUGCUGGAUAGCUUUCAGAAGAUGAUUAUGGAAAUUAUUGAAAAGAGAGACAACGAGUUCACACCAAUUUACGUGGAAACCCGAGUACCGGGAGAAAAACCACGAUUGUUUGUGUUGUUAUUAUUUUCUAAUGAAUAAAACAAUAGGUAUAGGGAAGAAUAAAUAGAGUACACAAUGGAAUAAAAAAGGAAAAGAUUUAGGAAAAUAAGGAAUACAUUCCCAUAAUCUUUCCAUAAUUAUUCUAGGAUUCUAACAAGGAAAAAGCCUAGAGAAAAGGAAAGAAUUCCAACACUCCCCCUCAAGUUGGGACGUAAAUAUCAAUGAGGCCCAACUUGCUAACGCAAAAGUCGAAGUUUGGUCUGAGAAGCCCUUUGGUAAGAACAUCAACAACCUGUUGACUUGAAGGGAUGUACGGAAUGCAUAUGCUCCCACUGUCAAGUUUUUCUUUGAUAAAAUGUCGAUCAAUCUCAACAUGUUUAGUUCUAUCAUGUUGAACAGGGUUGUUAGCAAUACUAAUAGCGGCUUUAUUAUCACAGAAAAGCUUCAAUGGUGUCUCACAUUCCUGAUGAAGAUCUGUCAAAACUUUCUGAAGCCAAAUUUCCUCACAUAUUCCUAAACUCAUAGCUCUGUAUUCAGCCUCAGCGCUGCUCCUGGCAACAACACUUUGCUUCUUACUCCUCCAAGUUACAAGAUUGCCCCAAACAAAGGUACAAUAACCAGAGGUAGAUUUUCUGUCAACAACAGAUCCUGCCCAAUCCGAGUCAGUGUAUGCCUCAAUGGUCUUUCUGUCUGUUUUUCUAAACAUCAGCCCUUUACCAGGUGUUGAUUUUAAGUAUCUCAAGAUUCUGUUGACAGCUUUCAUGUGUUCCUCAUUAGGGGUCUGCAUAAACUGGCUGACAACACUCACAGCAAAGGAAAUAUCAAGAGUAUGAGAUAAGUAAAUUAAUUUACCCACGAGGCGUUGAUACUGUUCUUUAUCAACUGGAACUUGAUCAUAAGAGUUUCCUAGUUUAUAGUUGAAUUCAAUAGGAGUGUCAGUGGGACGACAUCCUAACAUACAUGUCUCGGUUAACAAAUCAAGGAUGUAUUUUCUUUGAGAUACGGAGAUACCUUCUUUAGAUCUGGCCACCUCCAUUCCAAGGAAAUAUUUCAAAUUUCCCAAAUCCUUGAUUUCGAACUCAUCACCCAUUCUCUGCUUUAGUUGACCGAUUUCUGUCUGAUCAUCUCCAGUCAAAACAAUGUCAUCCACAUAAACUAUUAGAACAACAAUCUUUCCUGUUUUGGAAACCUUUGUAAAUAAAGUAUGAUCAGAGUGUCCCUGCCUAUACCCUUGGGACUUGACAAAGGUAGUGAAUCUGUCAAACCAUGCUCUGGGAGACUGUUUCAGACCAUAUAUAGAUUUCUAGAGUUGACACACAUGCUGACCAAACUGGGCUUCAAAUCCAGGCGGAGGGCUCAUGUAGACUUCCUUUACGAGGUCUCCAUUCAAAAAGGCAUUCUUAACAUCCAGCUGAUAUAGAGGCCAAUCUUUGUUCACAGCAACAGAUAACAGAACUCUAAUAGUAUUCAAUUUAGCAACUGGAGAGAAAGUUUCUGAAUAGUCAAUACCAUAGGUUUAAGUAAAUCCCUUCGCAACUAAGCUUGCCUUGUGUCUGUCGAGAGUACCAUUAGCUUUGUAUUAUAGAGAGAACACCCAUUUGCAUCCCACAGUUUUGUGUCCCUUAGGUAGAGUACAAAAGUCCCAAGUACUAUUCUUUUCAAGAGCUUUCAUCUCUUCCAUGACAGCAUUCUUCCAUUCAGGACACUUUAAAGCAGUGUAGAUAUCUUUUGGUAUUAUGGUAGAGUGAAGGCUUGCUGUAAAAGCUCUGAACUGAGGAGAGAGAUUAUCGUAGGAAACAUAAUUGCAAAUGGGGUGUUUAGUACAAGACCUGGUCCCUUUUCUCAGAGUAAUGGGAAUGUCAAGAGAGGAAUCAUACUCAUCCGAUUUUCCUGUAUGACCAUGUUCCGCUUCAUUAUUACGGGUUUCUAUUCUGACCUCAAUCUCAUCACCACUGUCCUUUUCUUCCACGUUUUUAAGAAUAGCAACAUUAGACCUAUCAUUCUCACUUAUCAUAUUCUUAGUACAGGGUUCAAUAGGGUUUUCCAUACCUUGAUCUCGAGGAGGUUCAGAGUCUUGGACUGGAGCCGGCGACUGACUAGUAGGGGAACCGAUUUCCUUUUUGUGAUUCCUCCUGUAAUAUGUUUUCCAGGGGACUUGGUUUGUGGGUAGGACUAUGGAAUGAGGAUUGAUGUUAGACAUGACACUAGGAGUGGGUUCGAUGAAUUCAAAGGUGUUGUUAGACUCUUCACUCACACUCUCCCCCUGAAGAUGGCUAACGGGAAAGUAGGGUCGAUCCUCAUAGAAAGUAACAUCCAUAGUGACAAAGUAUUUUCUGGAUGGCGGGUGAAAACAUUUAUAACCACGCUGGUGAGGGGGAUACCCAACAAACACACAUGCCUGAGCCCGAGGGGUAAAUUUGGUUUGAUUAGGGCCAAAAUUAUGGACAUAAGCGAUACACCCAAACACACGAAGAGGAACCUCAGAAACAUGAUGAGUCGAUGGGUAGGACUUCUUAAGACAAUAUAAGGGAGUUUGAAGAUGAAGAAUACGAGAAGACAUUCUAUUGAUUAAAUGAGUUGCUGUAAGAAUAGCAUCUCCCCACAAGUAUGAAGGAAGGGAAGUAGAAAGCAUAAGGGAACGGGCUACUUCCAGAAGGUGAUGGUUUUUCGCUCGGCCACUCCAUUUUGUUGAGGAGUGUAGGCGCACGAGUUUUGAUGAACAAUCCCCUUAGAAGCAAGAAAUUCACUAAGGUUAUGGUUUUGGAAUUCCCGACCAUUAUCACUCCGAAGAAUAGCAAUUUUUUGAUGGAAUUGUGUUUCAAUGGUGUGAUAGAAAUUUUGAAACAUAGAGGAAACCUCAGAUUUAUCAGUGAUAAGGUAGACCCAGGUAAGACGGGUAUGAUCAUCAAUGAAGGUUAUGAACCACCGUUUUUCAGAUGAGGUUGUUAUCUUGGAUGGUCCCCAGACAUCACUAUGAACAAGAGUGAAGGGUUGGGUUGGUUUGUAUGGUUGUGAGGGAAAAGAGACUCAAUGUUGUUUGGCCUGAAUACACACAUCACAAGAUAAGGUAGUCAUCUCAACUUUAGAGAAGAGAUGUAGAAAUAAAUGUUUCAUAUAUUGAAAAUUAGGGUGGCCUAAACGAAAAUGCCACAACAUACAAUCUUGUUCAGAAGUAGUGAAAUAGGAAGAUAAGAGACUAGUCCUAGGAAUGCUACUAGAAGAGGUAUUGUCAUCAAGGAGGUACAGUCCCCUACUAUGCCGGGCAGUGCCAAUCAUUCUCCCCGAGCUCAAGUCCUGAAAAGAGACAGAAUCAGGUAAGAAUAUUGCUUUGCAGUUUAACUCAUGAGUGAUCUUGCUUAUCGAAAGCAAAUUAUAAGAUAGUUUGGGCACAUGCAAAACAUUAUGUAAGGAGAGCCCUGCACAAGGAGAAAUCUUCCCCUUUCCAGCAAUGGGGGCCAAGGAGCCAUCUGCAAUUCUAAUUGUCUCGUUCCCGACACAAGGAAUGUAAGAUACAAAAUGUUCAGAGGACCCAGUCAAAUGAUCUGUGGCACCAGAAUCCAGAAUCUAGGGGUUCUUCCCAUCAAUACUAACAAGACCGAAGGAGUGAGGUAUACCCGAUUGGACAGUGGCACCUAAAGUGGCAAGACUGAGAUCAGUUUGGUUUUUGUGUGGAUCGGAUUGUUGAGGAGGUUCAGCAGACUCACUCACAUACGCUCGCCCUGUGUUCUGUUUGUCGUUGGAAGGGUGUUUCUUACCUCCAGGGGACGACCAUGUAACUUCCAACAUUGUUCUUUGGUAUGCCAUUGUUUUUUGCAAUGCUCGCAGACAGGAAUUGGUUUUCCAUUAUGCUUGUCACUGAUACUGUUAUAAGAUCUUGCACUAAAAGCAGCAGAGUCAAUAGUAGGGGUUGCGGAAAUAUUCAUAGCACUUGUGCGAUCUUCCUCAAGGCGGAUUUCAGAGCAAACUUCCAUCAGGGAGGGAAUCGGUCUUUGACCUAGUAUACGCCCUCGAACUAUAUCAAACUUAGGAUUAAGACUAGUAAGAAAGUCAUAAAUCCUGUCAUUCUCUUCAAUUCUUGAGUACUGUACACCAUCAGUGGGAUCACGCUAGACUAGUUCUCUGCAUAGGUCCAUUUCUUGCCAUAUAAGAGAGUUUAUUGAAAAAGGAUGUGACAUCCAUGGUUCCUUACUUGCAUUCAUGAACUUGCUUUCUCAGCGUGUAUAGACGAGAGGCAUUCUGACGUUUUGAGUAAAGUGUAUGGGCUGUGUCCCAAAUAUCCUUGGCUGUUGCAGCAAACAAUAACGGCUUGCCAAUUUGAGGUUCCAUACUAUUGAUCAAUAUGGAUCGAAGAAUAGAGUCUUCUGCCUUCCAAUAUCGUUCAUGUGGGUCGCCUGGUAGGGGGCGAGGUAUUUCCCCUGUCAAAAAGAUAAAUUUUUGUCGUCCUUCGAGGACCAUCUUUAUUGACUGAGACCAUGAGAAAUAGUUGUUGCCAUUCAACUUUUCUCCUGAAAGAUGAUACAUGGAAGACUGAGCCACCGUGUUAGUCACAUAAGGAGAGGAUACAUUAGGGAACGAGUUUACCGAAUUCUCAGAAUACAGCGGUAGAGUGGAUGUCGUCCCUAAGGUAGCCUCAAGUGCUGUUAUCUGUUGUCGAAGCCCUUCCAAUGUUGGGGGAUGAACUAUUCCCGAGGAAGCUUGCACGUUACGGUUGGAAUAUGCCGAAGAUUCACCAACCUCAAAUGUUGAGUGAAUUUGAGAGUUUUUAACAUCAGGAUGGUAGCUAGGAUCAUUGGGUGGCUGGCCAUACAGAUUUGACGGCAGAAGCGGUGGAAGCCGAUUGUAAUUAGAUGGCAGAACAUAAAUCGGGGCGUGGGAAGCAAUAUAGGUCGCGGACGAAGAAAAGGGUUGGAUAGAUGGAUGGUCGGCGCGUCUGAGGGAGAAAACCAGGCGCGUGUGGUCCGGUGGCAGCGCGGACGACUGCGGUAAUGACGAAAAAUUAUUUUCGGACGUUUUCUGUAGCCGGCUUAAUAAUUCGUCCAUGGCAGCACUCAUCCGAGCAUCGACGGCAGCAGCUACGGCAGCACUAAAAUUGAUGGCUGUCCCUUCUGUUUGAUUUUCAUCAGUGGUUUGGUUUUUUUGGGUUUCUAGGGUGUUUUCAUUGUCCCGCUCUAAUACCAUAUUGAAAAGAGAGACAACGAGUUCACACCAGUUUACGUGGAAACCCGAGUACGGGAGAAAAACCACGAUUGUUUGUUGUUAUUAUUUUCUAAUGAAUAAAACAAUAGGUACAAGGAGAAUAAAUAGAGUACACAAUGGAAUAAAAAAGGAAAAGAUUUAGGAAAAUAAGGAAUACAUUCCCAUAAUCUUUCCAUAAUUAUUCUAGGAUUCUAACAAGGAAAAAGCCUAGAAAAAAGGAAAGAAUUCCAACAGAAAAUGAUAAACGACAUGUCAGGAUUUUCGAGUUGCCCUCGAUGACGUUAGAAAUCGUUGAUGUAAGCACGAGGUGAACCUUACAAUGCGAGCGAUGGCAAACCAAGCUCAAGUUGGAGGAGUAAUCCCGAUGAGCAGAAUAAAGAUUCCUGAACCCUUCAUCUUUGAUUUUGAGCAAUACUUCAAGGUCACAAGCACAACCACAAAAGAAGCCAAAAUGGCAUUGGCGACUAUGCAGUCUUAGGAUGCCAAGUUAUGGUAGAGAUCCCAAUAUAUCGACAUUCAAGAAGAGUGUUACACAAUAGACACCUGGCACACUUUAAAGAAAGAACUCGGCUCACAGUUCUUUCCCAAGACUGUCGAAAUCUUAGCUUGGCGGAAAUUGGAUGAACUAAAACACAACGACAACAUUCGAGAGUAUGUGAAGCAAUUUGUUUGUUCUGUUUGGGAGUCUUUCCCUUUCCCUUCUUUUUAAUUUGAGCAUUAGGUUUUGAGGUCCAACUUUGGUUUUAGAGGAUGAUCCUCUUGUAAAUUUUCUUUUUGUGGUAGCAACAUUUGCUUCUACUUGUUUCCCUUUACCCAUAGUAAGGUUUUGGAAUCGCUGGAGUUCAUUCAGAAGGGUUGUCAGGUUAAAUUCUAUCUUGUUCAAAGACGCAUUCGUUUGGAAUGGAAUGAAGCUCUUCGGAAGAGACUCUAAGAUAAAGCUAACUUGAUUAACCUCUUCGAUGGACCACCAUUCACUUCAGCGAUGUUGAAGUGCAUCAUCAUGUCCAGAACAUGUUCUCUAACAGAGGUCCCUUCCUUCAUACGCUUAGUGUAAAUGUAUUUGACUGCCUCGUGUCUUAAGGACCAUUCUGGUUGCCCAAACAUUCCCCCUAAUGAAUCCAUAAUCUCUUUAGCCGUGGCUAAGGAUUCAUGUUUCUUUGCCAAUACAUCAGACAUGCUGGCAAGAAUGUAGACAUGGAAGGCGCCAGAAGGCGCAGUGAGCCACACAAAAGGGACCGAAACGAAUGUUCGAAAAUAUCAGAAGGAUCGAAGAAAGAUGGAAGGAAAGACGAGGAAAACAACAUACCAGAGCAAGUUCAAGACGGUAGAGAUGUCGGUCUUCAAUGGAAUAGACCUUGAUUCAUGGUUAUUUCGCGUUGAUCGUUAUUUCAAGAUACACGAGUUAACUGACUCAGAGAAGUUAAUGGUAGCGGUAAUCAGUUAUUAGGACCAGCUCUCGAUUGGUAUAGAUCAAAUGAUGAGUUGGGACGGUUCAAGAGUUGGGAUAUUUGAAGCAAAGGUUGUUGUCCGAUUUCAGACGAUUUGGGAUGGAACACUCCUAGGCCGAUUCUUAACGAUUAAGCAGGAAACGACAGUAGGGGAAUAUAGAAACCACUUUGAUAAAUAUUUAGCUCCGGUAGCCUUCCUCCAGACCAUAGUGUUAGAAGAAACCUUUAUGAAUGGGCUAAGCCCAUGGCAUAAAUCCGAAGUUAAAAUGUUGGAGCCCAUAGGUUUGGCCGAGAUGAUGAAACUAGCCCUGAAAAUUGAAAAUAGAGAGAUGGUUCAUCGAGAAUGUGGGCUUAUUAGUGUUUCUAGAAUGAAUAAACAAUUCAAACAUAAUAACGUGACGCAAACCUCGACAGUAACACCCAAUCAGAAACCCACGGAAAGGAGCUGGCCGAUGAGAACGAUUACGUUAAAAAAAGUGACGGCAGAUGAAAAGAGGAGGGAAGGUCCGACCAAGCGUCUUUCCAACGCUGAAUUUCAAGCACUGAGGGAAAAGGGUCUAUGCUUUCAGUGUGAGGAGAAGUAUCACGCUGGACACAGGUGUACGGUGAAGGAACAAAAGGAAUUACGGAUAUUAGUAGUAAAGGAAACGAGAGAAAACUGGAAAUCAUUGAGGAGGAAUACUUUGAUGUGGAAACGGAGGCCCAGACCAUUGAAAUUGAAAGAGUGGAGAAUAUGAUAUAGAACUUCCAUUAACUCAGUUGUGGGGUUAUCCAACCCUGGAACCAUGAAAGUGAAAGGGAAGAUAAAAGAGACCAAAGUGGUAAUACUCAUCGACAGCGGAGCCACCGACAAUUUUAUUGCAGAAAAUUUGUAACCACCCUUAGCCUACCAAUGACAGAAACGUCCAACUAUGAGAGUGAUUUUGGGAUCAAGGGUUGCGGUCAAAGGAAAAGGAAUCUGCAAUAAUGUUGAAGUGACGGUAGGAGAGUGGAAAAUUACAAACAGCUUUUUUCCCUUGGAAUUAGGAGGGUUGAUGUAAUUUUGGGUAUGCAUGGUUGCACUCAUUGGGCAUGACUGAAUUUGAUUGAAAAAUUUGGUGAUGACAUUCCGACAUGGAGGAAGGAAGAUAGAGAUAAAGGGGGACCCUAGUGUCACCAAAACCCAAGUGAGCCUAAAGUCUAUAAUUAAGACAUGGGGAGCUGAUAAUCACGGUUAUUUGGUAGAAUGUCGGGCCAUGGAGGGAAGGCUAGCUGAGGAAGGCUUAGAGGAUGAAGAAGUGCCAGCCACUGUUGACAACAUGAUCUCUCCUCUGUUGAGCAAAUUUAAUGAUGUUUUUGAUUGGUUGGAAGAGCUGCCUUCGAAGAGGAACAUUGAGCACCAUAUACCCCUUCAGAAGGGGGUGGAUCCAGUUAAUGUCAGACCUUAUCGUUACGCACAUCGGCAAAAGGAGGAAAUUGAAAGACUAGUUGAUGAAAUGUUGAAGACAGGCAUCAUAUGACCGGGUACCAGUCUGUAUUCCAGCCCAGUCCUUCUCGUGAAAAAGAAAGAGCUGGCAAUUUUGUGUAGAUUAUCGGGAGUUGAACAAUGUCACUAUCCCAGAUAAGUUCCCAAUUCCGGUCAUAGAUGAGUUAUUCAAUGAGCUGAAUGGGGCCAACAUGUUUUCGAAGAUUUAUUUAAAGGCGGGUUAUCACCAAAUCAGGAUGCAUCUGAGAGGUGUAGAGAAGACGGCCUUUCGAACACAUGAGGGACACUAUGAGUUCUUGGUCAUGCCGUUUGGGCUAACCAAUGCCCCUCUACGUUCCAAGCAUUAAUGAACCACUUCUUUAAGCCUUAUAUGAGAAGAUUGGUAUUAGUGUUUUUCGAUGACAUUUUGGUGUACAGUAGGGGAGUAGAAGAACAUGGACAACAUCUGGAAGUAGUCUUGGAGAUCCUUCGGAGAAUGAAUUGUAUGUGAAUUUAGCCAAAUGUUGCUUUGCCAAAAGUAGAAUAGGUUAUUUGCGGCAUUUCAUAUCCAAAAAGGUAACUAAAGUUGAUCCGGAAAAAAUAAGGGCAAUUAGGGAAUGGCCGAUUCCCAUUAGUGUGUGAGAAGUUCGAGGUUUCUUAGGACUCAAUUGAUACUAUAGGAAGUUUGUGCAAAAUUAUGGCAGUAUCGAAAGCCCUUUGACACAACUUUUGAAGAUAGGAACUUAUUAUUGGACUGAAGAAGCAAGUGCUGCCUUUGAGAAGUUGAAGAUGGCAAUGAUGACUCUACCGGUGUUAGCUAUGCUGGACUUUAAUCUACCACUCGAGAUAGAAACAUAUGCAUCUGGUUCUGGUGUGGGGGCCAUUUUAGUACAAGCCAAGAGACAAAUAGCCUUCUUUAGCAAAACCUUAUGCAUGAGGGAUAGAGCGCGACCGGUUUAUGAAAGAUAAUUGAUAGUAGUAGUGUUUGCGGUGCAAAGGUGGAGACCAUAUUUGUUAGGGAAGAAAUUUACAGUGAAAACUGAUCAGAAGUCGCUCAAAUUCUACUGGAACAAAUGGUGAUUCAACCCUAAUACCAGAAAUUAGAGGUUAGUUGAUUGAGAAAAGUGCAUGUGGGGAAGUCUUGACGCGAGGAAGGCUAGGCGUUGAAAGGUUAUGCGAGAAGACCAAGGAGGUUAGCUAUGCGUUUGGAUAGUAAAUGACAUGCUCUAAGCAAUUAAUUAAAAGUAAAUCUAGGUGUCUUAACCAUGUCAUCCUGCAUUUUGCAGCCAAGGAGGAUGUGAAGGAGUUGCUAAGGUGUAAACAAAAGCUUAAGAUGUGAGUCUAAUCAAGAUUAAGUGUCAACUUAAUUUCAUGCAAGGAACUCUAUAAAUAGGUCAACUUCAAGAAUGAAUUUCUCACAACUUACUUGUUCAAAAUUACUCAAAUUAGUCUUAAAAUUCCAGAAAUUGAAUUUAGUUUAUGAUAGAGGGUUGCUAUUAAAUUUGGAUUCAAGAAGAUUUGCGAUUGGAUCAAGAUAAGGUGAGAAGGUCAUUUUCUAGGAGAAUCUAAGCAAGUUGCAAUUUUAGAGGGCUAUGGAACUCAUUUCUUGGGAUUUUCCUUCAAAACUUUGAGGUAUGAAAAUUAAGUCAAUUUGGAGUAACUUUGUAGAAUGAAGUUUUAUAAAAAAAAAUUAUGAAUUUUAAGUUAUAAUUUUUCAAAGUUAUGUCAUUAUUCUUGAAGUAAAACAGUGUUCUGGAUAGUGUCUGAGAGGCUUGCAUGUGUAGGUGAGAUAGGCAUGUGUUUUGGUUUAGAAGUUAUUGUGGUCCAAUUGCACACACAUGAAAAGGCCAUGGCACAGUCGAGUGGCAAGGCAUGUGCUCAGGCUACACGCAUGACCCUUUUUUAGAGGUUAGCGUGGUAUGCACGGGGUGCGGAGAGCACCAAUGCUUGCAAAGCACAAGAUGGACGCACGAGAUAGGCGAAUAGCACAUGUGUGGCAACCCCAUUGCAAGGUUAGCACACGAUAUACACCCCAUCUUAGUAAGGUCAGCACACGACAGGUCCCGGGCCAUGCACGUGUGGCUAGAUCCAUUCACCAUGUCAGUGGAUACCGUUGGGUUAUUUUCGAACUAUUUUGGGUUACUUUGAUAUUUUUGGGAAUUUUAAAGGAACUUUUGGAUAUUCUCAUGUUUAAUAAAUUAAUUAAAGAUAAAAUAUGAAGUUUUCAGAACAAGGAGGAUUAGGAUAAAUUUUUGGCCAAUGAUCUGUACAAGUAUUGUGAGUAACACAUUGAUUUUCAAGGUGAUUUAUUGAACAUGUUUUCAAGCUUUACACAAAAUAACUUGUGAAAUGAUUUAGUAAACAUGUUUUUAAGUUAUUACUUCAAGAUAAAUGUUUAUGAACAUAUGCUCAAGUUCAAGUGAAUGCUUUCAUGUUUUCAAAUGCUUUUAUCCAUGCCCGAAUAUUUCAUGAGACAUAUUGUAUACAAGUGGUUAACUCCAUACUGAUGAUAGGGUUGAGAAGCCUAUAGUUUAUGGGUCAUUAGAAAUAGUGUAUUGUUAUGCCUUAAAGGAGGAGAGUUAUUUACCCAUUGACUGUUCCGUCUUCGAAUGAAGGGGUAAAUACUACCAGUGGCUAUGGACAAUUGUCUUCGAAAAGCUAUGCAAAUAUUUCAAGUUUCAUGUUAUGGUUGUUUAUUAAUAAAUGUAUUAAAGUUUCGGUUUUAUACUAAAAUGUUUAUGAAAAUAUGUUUUAUAAAACUGUUGCUCACUAAGUUUUUCGACUUACCCUUUCAAAAUGUUUUUCCUCUUUCUAGAUAUAGGUUAUGGAUCUCGAUAUGCUAAACUUAUUGCUGCCAGGCCAACUUAGUUUUUGUUAUGCAAGGACAUUGUUUUCAUUUAAAGAAGUAUUGUGAUUAUUCAAAUAUUUAUAUCUUUAUGUUUUGUUCAUUUUUUAUGAUACGUUUAAAAGAUUUCUUAUGGGUUGCAUUACAAAUUUCGAAGUAUGAUUCAACUGUUUAUUUUAAUGAAAAACUUUUGUUGUUUAAAAAGUUUUGCAAGUGUUCAUGUCAUGUGUCAGUUGAGGUUGUUUCGAACAACUUCGACUGACAUCACGCCUCGUCUUGAUCGACCUAACAGGUGCCCAAGACGGGGUGUGGGAGUAGAUUAUAUCAUCAAUAAUUGUUUAGUUGAAACAAGAUGUGUUAUUUUUCAACUUUGGAUCACAUGCCUAAGAGUUGAUAAUUUCUUUGAGUGGUUAGAACAAUGUAGUUGUUGUAAUAUGUUUGAUGCACGAGAUUUUAAUCUCCAACCUUAAGGAGUUAUUUGGGGGAGAGAAAGGAAAGGAAAAUAAAUGACCAUUUUAGUCAUUUCCACGUUUGGGGGAAGGAAUAAGUUUAAUCCUCUUGUUCCUUCUUAAUCAUUCUCCUUCCUCUCAAUCCCUAUCUUUCUUCCUUCCAAUCCUUCUUUUCCUCCGAUAAAUUAUUUUUCAAUUACAUCAAACUAUUCUCAUUUUCAAAAUUAUAAAUAUCUUUUCCUUAAUAAUUAUAUUUUCAUUUUUCCACAACAAAUAUAUGUAUAUCCACGUAUACAUGUAAUUAUCAAAUUUCUAACAAAAUUUCACUCUUCAAUUUAAUUAAAUAAAGACAAAAAAAUAUUUAAUUAUAUUUAAAUUCAGUGACACUAAAAAUCCAAAUCCAAUAAUUAAUGAAGUAUUCAACUCACAAAUAUUUAAUUAAUUUUAAUUUCACAAAACCAUAAAUUCUAAAUUAAAUAUCACGUGAUUGUCUGUAUGCUUGAACCACAUGACCUGUUUUUGUUUUAUUUCUUUUUUUAAAAAAAUAUAUUUUAUUUUGCAUUAUUCUGAUGUACGAUGUAAUUGACAUUCACUGUUUAACUGUAUUUCGAUUUUUUUUCUUUCGUAUUUCACAUCGUUUCAAUGCUAUUAUGUUCGUCGUCAUUUGUUUAAAUUGAUUGUCAAUGAUACCCAAUUUCUCGUUAUUGCACUUGCAACAUUAAUUUUUUUAAAAAUUAGAUAUAAUUUCUUUCGCACGUAACACAACAAUUAAUUUAUUGGCACAGAAAACUUGCAUACAAAAUGUUCAAAAUUGACAUCAUAUUUACGAAAAUUAAUGGAACAUGUUUUUUGAUAAAAAUUCUAAAUUUUGGUAAAUUAAAAAUACGAAUAUUUGUGUAUUAGAUUUGCAAUACGAAGUAAAAAAAAAUACAACAAUACAAAUUUAAAAUAAUAAUUUUUUUUUUUUGUCAUAACCCUUCUCACUUUUUCCUUCACAAACAAAGAUUAUCAUAAUCCUCUCACUUAUUAUUUCCUCAAACUGUUGGGGUUUAUGUUCUAAAACUGGUAGAUUGUAAAUAUAAUUCAUUGACCGUUAUUAAUAAAGUGUUGUUGAUUAUAUUAUUAGUUUUGUCUUAAUAACCAAAUCCAAUAAACUAACACUCUAAGUUAUUUGAUAAGUCUUGAAUAGUAUGUAAAGACAUACAAUGAUCGAUAUUCGAGAUCAACUUAAAGGGUCUAUAGUAUAGAGAUAAGGUUGGGUACCUUAUCCUAGUAACACUAUGAAUAACACUUUAAAUUUGAUACAAACACAAUGAUCCAAAGCGUUCGUGUAGGUGACAUUCAAGUGAGGGUAUCCUAUGCAAUGAGUUUGCAUAAGACCGAACGAAAUAAUAACCACUAAAUGUAACUUCGUUAACUAGUUAGGUUUAUAUUUCAUUAGGAUGACCUAUGUAACUUAUUCUUAAUUUAAGUGUAUUAUGAACUCAUAUUCGCGAGAGAUUGCCCUUUGAUAUGUACGGGUGAGAGUGGCCAGUUUUCGACUCAAUAUGCUUAUCAUUUUGGGAACAAUACCAAGUAGAGAGCUGAAAACAUAAUCAUACAAGAUGAAAUUUACUCCUUCCCGACUUUUGGGUAAGUAGAUGGGUGUUUCCUUAAAUGGUAUCUUCGAGACUUGAACAAAGAGCCCUAUCCUCUCUAUGGCGCGAGAGGGAUUUUUGUUUAUUGGUUGGACCAUAAACAUGUUGUUCAUUAGAAGAACACUAGUAUUUAAGGAUUGGAGGUAAUCUAGGGGUAAAAUAGUAAUUUGAUCAAGCUGGUGUUACGAACACUCGUGAAGGACUAACUUACUAUUAUUCUAUAUACGUGGACACAUAAUAUAUCUAUUAUGAGAAGAGUUUAACUGUGAGUCUUUAGUGGAGUGUACACACAAUUAACGAAUAUUGAUUAAUGUGGUGAAUGAGUUUAGUCAAUUAAUCUCAUAUCGUUGUAGAUUCUGAUUUAUAGAUUCAUUAGGUCUCCUAGCUCAUAAAGGAUAAUGAGAUUUAUUUAUAUUGGUUGUAAUUUGAAAUGUUCAAAUUUACUUUAAGAAUUAUCAUAAUGUAUAGUGAUACAUUAUAAUGUAAAGUUUAUAUUUUAAUCAAACUUUAUUAUAUAAAUUUAAUUUUGGAUAUGAUUCAAAAUUAAUUUACGAGAGAUAAAAUAUUUCAACAUUCAAAUAAAUUUAAUGUGAAUUAGAUUCAUAUUAAAAUUAAUGGUUAUGAGAAAUAUUUAUAUUUGAAUAUGAUUCAAAUAUUAAGUUAAAUAUAAGAUAUUUGAUUUUGCUAUUAAUUAAUUGAAGAGAAUUAAUUAAUAGUUUAGUUUAACUUUAUUUAAUUAAAUUAAUUUAAAACUAUAGGAUAUUGGAGAGAUGUUAAUUAAAUAUAAUUUAAAUGAAAUAUUAACUACAUAUGAUUUAAUUAAUUAUUAACUGAUUAAUUAAUUAAUUAGUUGAUUUGAAAUUUCUAUUAAUUUAAUAUUUUUUAAAUUAAUAAAAUCUCAUUAUUCUCUUCUACUCUCAAGAAAAGAAAAGAGAGUUAUAAAUAUGCAGAAGAAAAAUAAUUUUUCUAAAUUAAAAAAAAAAGUCAAUGCUUUUGCUCUUUGGAAAAAUAGUUUUCUCUUAAAACUUUUUCCAUCUCAAUCUCACACACCGAUCUCAUAUAUCUUAGAGCAUAGGAAGUUAUUCGAUGAGUGGUGUCCCCAAAUUUGGAGAUUUAGUAUAUUUAGGGACGUCAAACUACGCAAGUUUUUCUCUUUCUAAUCUAUACUUUAUUAAUGCUUAAUAAGAAAAUUAAUUUUUUAAUUAUUUUUUGCCAAUGUAUUGGUAUUUUGGAAUUCCCAAAUUAAAUUGAGGAAUGAUUCUGUAAAAUCUUCCACUGCCUAGGGCUUUUAUCCAUUGACAAACAAGGAUUAUCAUAAUCCUUUCCUUUUCAUAAUCCUCAUUUUUUCAUAAUCAUUUUCCCUUUUGUCACACCCUAAUCCGCAAAACUACCAAAACGCAGAAAGUAGUGCAGAUAGUACGUGAUUUAGCUUAAAACCUUGAAACUGAUCUUAUCUCCUAAUUCAAACUCAACUCCUUUAUAAACUACCAUGCGGCAGAGAUAAACAUAACGCACAUCGGAAGUUAACUUAAACUUUUAUUCAACAACAAGUGUUUUGACGUGAUUAAACGUUAAGACACUUAUCUUAAAUCCUUUACCUUGUUUAAACGCCAAAUAUUUUAAAUAACAUUCUUUAGGCAUUAAAGCUUAACGUAGUCAUCAUUAAUAAAUAAACUUAAACUUAAUUAACAACAGGCGUUUCUUACAUAGUAUACAAUUACAACACUUUGACCAAAAAAUGACAUUAAUCAAAUGCUUAAAUGCCUGGUAGCUUUCUCAAGUCGCUACAAGUCCUUCAACCUUCUUCUCUACUUGGCCUAAACGUCUGAUCUUGGAAGAUGGAAUUUUAAAACGUAAGUCUAAAAGAAUUAGUGAGGUUUUAUGAAAUCCUUUUCGCAAUACCUUUCCAUAAAUCAUUUUCACCAUAUCAUAUAGUUUAACACAAAUCACUUUAUUAAUAAACACAUCAUUUCGCAAAACAUUACAAUAAAAUCAGACCAACUUGCAAAUCACAUCAAUAUACAUUUUGCAUAAACACUAAUUAGUCACAAUCAUUCCUUUGGUCAAGGAUCCCAAAUCAUUAUCUACGUUUGGUCUCGUUACCUUGCGUUUAGACUACUAUAUCAACAACAUCCGAGAACUUACAGAUUUGUCAUUGUUGCUCAGGCUAUCUAACACAAUGUAGUCCUUUUGUACAUUGGUCGACUUUACUCCUCCAUGCAUGCCUUUUCUACAAGGUUGCCUAUAACCUUGUGUGUAUAUAAUAGUUAGCUCAUUCAAAGGAAACAACUAAUGAUUUGAAAACCAUUUUAUAAUCAAUAUCAUAGUCAUCAAAUCAAGCUUUAAAUAUUAUGAAACAUGUUUGAAAUGAUAUAAAUACUUUUAAGAGAAGAUCAUUCACUAUACUUAGCCUUAGAAUUGGAAAUCUCCUAUUCUUCUUCUUUCUCGCGGAAACAAAAUGACAGCACUUCACACUUCAAAAUUUCCAAAAAAUCUCCGAUACUUAGUGACCAAAAUCCUUUAUUUAUACUACUCUUUAACCUGGAUUAGUUAUCCUCAAAUCCUCGUCCAAUUUCCAACUCCUACUUAAAACUUUACAUGUGUAAAAUUAUAUUUAUCUUAUCCAUGCUUAAAUCCUUAAUCUUACAUGUUAACCUCGGUCAAAUCAGAUUUGAAAUCUUCUCACCGAACCUUUCUUCUCACUUAAUUUCAUUUCGAAUAACUUUAACAGCUCAACAUAACUUUCAAAGGUCUUAAUCCAAUAACUCCUUUUGUGACUAUCCAACAUUUUCUCGCGAAUAUUUUUUCUCUUGUGAAUGUUUACAGAAAGACCGUACGGGGUUGGUUUAUGGAAAUUUUGAAGGUGAAGAAACCCUAUCUUGCGAGAUACCCAUCUUGCCGAUCCACCACCAUUCUCUUCUUCUAGUUCUAAUGGCGCUGGAAUCAGGGGCAACAGACCCCUCGAAAACCCAAGUCCUCCUAAGAAAAUGCUCCAACGUCAUAUCCCAACUCCCUUCAUGGUUCCCGAUUUUGAACCCUCGUCGGCUAAGUUGAAGAGCCCGCUUCCACCUAAGCCUCCCUCUUCUAACCCGCUUAAGAGGAAGCUCAAUAUGGAGACCUUUCUUGAGAAUUCCAUCCUUGGGUUGUCAUAUUCUGGUGCGAAGGUACUUACAUGGUGUGAUUGUGGGGGGUUUGAUUUAUUUUUGUCUUAAUUAUGGUGUUUGGAACUGUUUUACCUCACAGUUGCUGUUUCUCCAUUCUGCAUAGCAUUUGCUGUUGUUUGGUCAAGACGUACUUGUAAGAAAAUGGUGUGAGCCAGAAUCUAUUUUCAAUUACAUGAAAAUUUUGAAGUUUAGAAUAUUACUGCUUAAUGUAAGAAGCUAACUUCUUGUUUUAAUGUUUUGUAAACAAGGGAAUUGCAUUGAUAAUUACAGUUCGUCCAAUAGUUCACAUACCGAAUCUUAAGUUAGAAUUUUUAAAUCUUGGUUCUAUGUUUAUGUAUCUGAAACAUGCUGAUCUUAAUUGGUUAAUUUGUAUUAAAAGUCAAAUUGACGUCUCAAAGUUAAUUGGCCUAUGUUUUGUCUUUUGCCCAAAAAAUCAUGAUCUCUACUCACUGAUGUGAUAUAUAAUCCCUUUUCUAUAGCUUGAUAUUAGAAGUUAAAUUACAAAAGUUAAACUAUGAACAUUAUAUCUAUCUAUAUGUAGGUUGAACUAUCACCAAAGUUGGUCACAAUGGGAUAGAUAACUAAAAUGUUUUUAGUUUUGAGACUAAAUACUCACGUUGCUUUAAAUUUAGAGAUGAAAAGCCAUUGUAACUCAUGAAAACAUAAAAUAUAAGCAUUCUCUUAAAUUUCUUAAAGAUAAGUUUCUUUUUCCAAACAUUUUGUGACGAUUUUUUCAAACGUUAUCAGCCCAUCUUCAUACUUCAAAUUGUUAUAAAAAACCUCUUCCUAUAUAACUAAUACUUUGGAGAACCUUACAGGUAUGACUAGUUGACAAAUAAGAGCCUUCAGAUUGGUUACUUCUUAUCAGCAAUGCUUGCUUAUGGAACAGGUAAUGAAGGAAGUAAUGUGUUUCCUUGUGAUGUUCAUAUAUAGUAAAGAUCAAGUAAUGCGUUUACUCAUGCAAUCUUUUCAUCAAUGAUGAUUUAAGUGAAGAAAAAUAACACUCUACAUUUAAUGUUAUUAUAUUGUAGUGUUGAUAGCACACACACAUAUAUAUUCUGUAAUGAUAUAUAUUAGGAAUGUGAUCAAGGAAGCCAGCUUGUCUAGAGAAAGCAAGAGUUGGUGUUGAAGGUUAGAUACUUUCUUUAAAAUUAGUUUUAUAGUUAUUGCGAGUUUUUUUAGGAUUACUCUGUGGCUAAAUCUUCAUUAACUUACUAUGCUGCCAAUGAGAGAUAUUGGAAGUUAGUUCUCUUUCCCAUGUUGCCUUGUUUUUAUUCUAAAUUUCUAAUAGGACUAUGAGAGUUAUUCAUAUUUUACUAUCUGUUUUUGUAGCAACACCCAUUCAUGAUGGCAUGAGUACACCUAUGCACCCAUGAGUCCGUCAAGGUAAAUUUCACGUGUUCUAGUGCACUUGAGAUAUUAAUUGAGAUAAUGUGGAUAACAUUGUAGAAUGUAUGUGCUGUAGAAAUUCCAUAAAUUAUUGUUAUUUAAAUAUUUUCAUUUACUUUUAUGAUAUUGUCUUACAGUUAAACCGAGGAACAUUUAAAUUCAAAGAUGACAAUUGACAACUUUGAAUAACUUUAUGAUAAGCUUGAAAAUAUUAAUGCUAUAGCAGAUAGCUAAUGAAUAUUUAUAGUUUUUAGUUUAUUUUUUGCCAGUCUGGCAUUGAAAAUUAAGAAAUAAUUCUUGAAUGUAUAUUUGUUGCUUUGUUCUUUCUCCAUAAUUCUUCUCUUAGUCAAUUCCUUUUGGAAAAUACUUUUAUGUUGAUUCUUUGUAUUCUGAAGAUGGCAACACCUUAUUGAUGAAAAACAUGACUAUAUGAAAAUGGAAAAUAGAAUUUUAAGUACAUUAAUUAUUGAAAUAGUGGGAUUGAGAUGGAUGGAAUGCACAUUUUUAACGCUCCUUAAGUUGCAUGGUUGAAUUUUGGACUAGGGAAGCUAGUAUAAAGAACAGUCAAACAAGAUGUGGUUUGUCAUUUUUCAGAAGGCAGGCUGUCAUAUUUGGUACAUAUUAAUGGUUUGUUUAGAUAUUGUUUGUAGAGUGAUUGAAGUCAUAUCAAGUUGGAAGCUAAGAGAUUGGGUGAAAGCUAAGCAAUCGUUGAAGGUUGAAGGUUGAAGACUGUGAAGUUCAAAGUUCAGUUAACAGCUCCUACAAUGCGAUCAAAUCCACCUACUCAAACCCACCUUCUGUUUCUAAAGCAGAAGAGAAUUGUGUUAGACUCACCUUCUAUUCCUAAAGUAGAAGAGCUUUCAAUGACUUAACCAAGUGAGCGAUUAAGUUUUUUAUCAUCCAUAUUGUUUCCUAUCCGUACUUCUAUCUAGAGAAAGAAAGCUACAUAGAAAAAGUAGACUACCAAAUGGGAAAAAAAAGAUUAGUAAGCAGUGUUAUUUUUGAAAAUAGUAAACAAAAAUUAACAUGAUUAUCAAACCAAGCCAUUCGAGAACAUGAAAUAGAAUUGGAUAGCUGUCGUGCAUUAUGUCUACAAAUGUUAUGAUAGUUACUAUGAUAUGGGGUUUAUGAAAGAGAAUUUCCUAUGUAUUUUAACAACAGAUGAUUCUUCAUCAUCAAGCAAAGUUUAUAGCUUUAAAGAGUACCUAAAGGUUACAAAAUAUCAGCCGAUAGCUCAUGAUAAGCUCCAAACGAAUUUUCCAGCACAAAGCCAGAGUGUAUCCCCAGUGCAACGUGAAGGUUGUUAAAAUCAAAUCUCUUAGGUCGUAUUCAAUAACUAUUUAGUUUUGGUUGUUUGUUUUCAUAGUUUUUUUUUUUUUUGUUGUAGGUAAAGUUUGAUCUUUUGAAAAGUUCUUUAGAGAAGCAUGUCAAUACCUCCAUCCUAUGCGAUUAUAAUCUUAGGGAAGACUUUUUGUUCCCUUUCCUUCUGUCAAUGCAUUUUUUCUUCUCUUUACAUAAAGGAAAAUUUAUUCUUUUAGUUUGAGAGCAAAUAUAUAUUAUCUUGAAUUUUAAGCAUUUCAGCAUCGUACGUUUUAUCAAAUAACAUAUGAUUGGAUGAAUUGACUACAUUCUUUGUGAUUAGUAUCAUUGAUUUUUUUGUUAUAUCAUUUUGUUCACAAUGGUUGAUGGUUGUAGUUUUCGUUAGUUGUUUUCAAAAUGAGUUUAUAUAAUUUUUUUUUCUUUGAAUCCUUGCCAUUGUUGAGUAGUAACUUGGCAUUUGUUUAUUAAAAGGUUUUAAUUAAGAUUAUGGUGUUCAUAACUUUGUAGUCACACUAAAUAACUUAAAAGAGUUAGUUUUUGAUAGUGACAAACAUGAUAGUAAUGUGAUACUGAGUGUGAGGGUAAAAAGAGCUGCUUCUGUUGUGAUAAGAGACGACCCCGUGGAGCGAGUGCUCUCAGCACAAAUCCUUAAAACGAUUGUAUGAAACUAAUCCAAUUGGGUUCAAGUGAUGUUUGUGUUUUUGGGUAUGGUGUGUUUUGUUUUCAAGUUCGUUAGUAGACGUAUUACUUAAUUGAACAUUUUGAUACCAUAGCCAGUGUAGAGACGAUGAAUGAAGGGUGCUAUAAGACUAGUUAAGACUUAUAUGUGCCUUAUUUCAGUAAUAAAUAAAAUUAAGAGAAUUUUCUUUGAUUUUUAGGAACAAAGAUGAAUAAGCAAUGAAAAAGGAAUGAAGAGGUUUAUCCAUGCAAGCUUCAAACCAAGUCAAGAUGUCAAUCCUUCGAGGGGAGUCCACUGUUCCCCCUUAUUUUUCUCCCUUUACUUUGAUUUCAAAAGCUUUGAGGACAAAGCAAGUUUUUAAGUGGAGUGGGUAAUAGCUUGCUUAGCUUGAAUGUUUAGUCUAAACUUGGGGGAUUUCAAAUUUUGCCCAAAUUAAGAAAAAAUUCAAAAAAAAUUUCCUUACAAUAAUGAGCAAUAUAGCUUCUUAGCUUACUUAGAUCUUGCAUAAAAAAUAUGACUAUCAACCCUUGAACACUGAGUGUAGCUGCAUCAUUCUUAACGCAUGAGAUCACGUCAACUCACUUCGAGAUAUAGUCAACAACCAAUAAUAUGUACACAUGAGUUCCAGACUAUGGAAAGGGGCCCAUGCAGUCUAUCCCCACAUAUGAAGGGUUUAACUCUAAGAUAGGUUGUUAGAGUAGUUCAUCGCGAUGGGUUAAAUUCCCUAUCCUCUGACACCUGCCACAUUUUAUCACAAAGUCCUUCACAUCAUGAAAGAGAGUUGGCCAGAAAUAGCCACUCUGUAAUACUUUUGCAGCAGUCUUUGGCCACCACAAUGUCCAUCAUAAGGUGCUUCGUGGCAUUUGGCUAGUAUGUCAGUUGUUUCGUACUCAGGCACACACUGCCUUAUUAUGGGAGUUGACUUAGUUUGUACAGAAAAGGCUCAUCCUACCUAUAAAAGCGACAUUCAUGAAAUAACUUCUUCGUUGCUUGACUGUUGAAAUCUUGCAGCCAUUCCUUACAAACAAGAUAAUUUAUUGUCGACGUACCAUGCUUCUUUUAUUUCAACGUGGAAAAGCUGCUCAUUUGGGAAUCUUUCAAAUCUCCUUGGCCUCGGGCUGAAGUUUAUCAUUCUUAAGUCGUUAUAAGUGAUCAUAUACUUGGUUCUAUGUGCCUUUGCAGUUAAUUAUCUCAACGUUAAAUUCCUGAAAUAACAAAAUCUAUCAUAUUAACUACGGUUUUGCAUCUUUGUUCACCAUAAGGUAUCUAAUCGUAGAGUGAUCCGAAUGCAAUGUGUUUUUUGAACCAAUGAUGUAACUUCUGAAUUNNNNNNNNNNNNNNNNNNNNNNNNNNNNNNNNNNNNNNNNNNNNNNNNNNNNNNNNNNNNNNNNNNNNNNNNNNNNNNNNNNNNNNNNNNNNNNNNNNNNNNNNNNNNNNNNNNNNNNNNNNNNNNNNNNNNNNNNNNNNNNNNNNNNNNNNNNNNNNNNNNNNNNNNNNNNNNNNNNNNNNNNNNNNNNNNNNNNNNNNNNNNNNNNNNNNNNNNNNNNNNNNNNNNNNNNNNNNNNNNNNNNNNNNNNNNNNNNNNNNNNNNNNNNNNNNNNNNNNNNNNNNNNNNNNNNNNNNNNNNNNNNNNNNNNNNNNNNNNNNNNNNNNNNNNNNNNNNNNNNNNNNNNNNNNNNNNNNNNNNNNNNNNNNNNNNNNNNNNNNNNNNNNNNNNNNNNNNNNNNNNNNNNNNNNNNNNNNNNNNNNNNNNNNNNNNNNNNNNNNNNNNNNNNNNNNNNNNNNNNNNNNNNNNNNNNNNNNNNNNNNNNNNNNNNNNNNNNNNNNUGGGAUGGCGAUUGGAAUUGAUUACUUUGGUUAAAAUUUAAGAUUAGAUUAAAAAAAUCAAUUAAUAGAUAAUUCCAUCCAAUCAAAAUAACUAAAUAAAAGACGAGAUUUGAAAAUAUAAUAUCCUAAUAGACACUAAUAGACUUAUAUUAAUAGAUAAUUUCCUGCCGAUGAAAAAUUACUAAAGUUGUACUAUAUUUUAUAAAUAUUUCAAAACAUUACAUAAACACUAAUUAAAGUUGGGUUUAGUAGCAAAAGGUUACAAAUUUAUUGACACCUUUUAGGAAAAAAAAUACCUUGACAUGAUGUAAACUAAAUUUGUAAUCAGCAUUGAAAUCUUUACUAUAUAAAUGGGCUCGUGGAGAAAAAAUUAUAUACAUCUAUUUUAUUCUUAAAUUGUCGAAAAAAAAUUAUAUUACCUUUUGUGAUCUAACGUAGUUGUGACUUUUAUAGUGUAAGUGUCCAUUUUAAUGUUUGGAAAGAUGAUUUUUCCAAUUUUUUAGUUUACAAAAUAAAGUUCUAUAUUUCAUAAAAUAAAACCUUAUGUUGAAUAUAUGUAACUAAUGUUGAUAGGAUGUGAUUGGUUGAUCUUCAAGAUACGAUGCAUUCUGUUUAGAGUGGAGAUGGUUGCACACACAUCAAAUUGGUGCAUUGAUUCCUCCAAAUUUACAUGUGAAAUGUAAAUGUAAAAGAAAAACAAAACAAACUCUUGCAGUUACACAUUAGGAAAAAAAACGUCACGAAAUUCCAAAGUUCAAAAGAAAACAAACAUACACAGGGAUUUAAUUGAUUCAAAGUAGUAACAAAUGGUGAAAAAAUGCAUAAUUUGUUGUGAUUUCACAUUAACAUGUUAGAAUAAAAAAUUAUCGUAUUCUAUAUAUUACAAUAUUGGAUCAAAUAUUAAUACAUUAAUUUAAUUAUUUAAUUACUACAUCAAUGAAUUUCUUUUUCUUUUUUAAAUAAUAAUUUUACCAUUAAUAUUAUAUAAUAUUUGUUUAUUAUAUGCUAAAGCAUAUUUAAAAAUUAAAUAGAAUUAAGAGAUUUCACGUGAAUUUAUGCACAUGUUUCAACUGAAAAGAUGGAAACAAUAGUCACAAAUUAUUUUUUCCUAAAACAAAACAUUCGUAACCAAAUCUAAAUAUGCACUUUCAUAACUAAGGACCAAAACUCAUAUUACGUAGAAUUGAGCAUGGUUUAAAUGAAAUUAUUAACAAAAUACUUACACUUUAAACCAGGUUUUUUGGCAACAUACAUAGUGAGAAAAUUCCAAAUUUACCCUCUUACUUGUAUCUUUUCAAUAAAAAGUGCAUCUUAGUUGUAAUUAUGUCAAAAUAAAAAUAAAAAAAUAACUCGUCAGUUAACGUGGUUAUUCAUUAAUUGAUUUGGGUGAACUUUCUGAAGAUAAAAAUAACAAAAACAAACAAACAAAAGACUAGAACAUGUUAUUUAAUUAUGUAAUUACAACUUCCCUUUCUCCUCCGUGAGAAAAAAAACCAUUUCUCUAAAUUUCAUCUAUAUAUGUGUAUUGAUCAAAUGACCCAUAUCAAUAAGGACACAAAAUUGGCAAAGAACAAAUAAAUUAAAAUGGACAAUAACUCUUGUUUCAUUACUUUCUCUCUCAUUGGAGUUCUUUUGUUCACCAUCAUUUCAAAUGUGGCAUCAUCUAACGACGUUGUUUCUACCAUCUGUUCAGAAAUCUCAAAUCCACAAUUUUGUUUAAGUGUGUUGAAAUCUGCAGGCACUACAGAUCUAAAAGGCUUGGCUGUAUACACCUUAAACCUUGCUCAUUCAAAUGCUGGCAAAUCUUUGAUCCUAGCCAACUCACUAGCAAAAGCCACCACCAAUCCUCAACUUAAGCAACGAUAUUCAUUUUGUGCUGAGAGCUAUGAUGAAGUUGUUGGUGACAUUGAAAAUGCUCAAAACGACUUGGCACUUGGGGACUUUAUUGGUGUCAUUAUUGCAACUACUGGUGCCAUGACAACUCUUGGUGAUCACUGUCAGAAUAAGCUCUUGCAGCCCGCCGAAGGAUACAUCGUUGCUUUUAAAGAAUAGCAACACUCUAGAUGAUAUAUUUAGCAUUAUUAUGGUUAUAUCCGAUCAUCUUUGAGGGUUAUGUACUUGAACAUUUUGAUCAAUAAAUAAACUGAAGUUUAAUUUUUAAAAUAAUAUUACAAUGUGAUGGUGAUUGGAAUUGAUUACUUACUUUGAUUAAACUUGAGAAGAUAAAGAAAAUCAAUUAAUAGAAACGUUCACCGACACACAUUGUCAGCACGUCGGAGAAAGCCUAAACUUUUUUUUCUUUUCUUUUACGUUCUGUUUUCUUUUCUUUGUUUGCCAUCAUCAUCAUCUUCUUCUUCUUCUUCUAGCUUCUUAUGUUCUGUUUCAAUUGCAUACUUCUGUUAUUCUUGUAAUUUCUUCGUGGUUUUCUUUUUAACUUUGUGUUUCAGUGUGGAUUCAUAAACACAUUUUUCAGUGCUCUGGAUUCUGGAUCUGUUAUGAUUUGAAAGGGUACAGUGAAGUGAAAAGUUGAAAUGGAAAAGAAAAAAAGAAGAAAAGAGGACACUUCUCGCGGUGGUGGCGGCAAAGACUGACGUCGACGACAACACAACUCUCCUCCUCUCCCUAUAUCUCGGCCGAUUUUGGGUUUAUUUUCGUUUUGCAUUCUGUUAUGUGUAGAAGGGAGAAUAAAUAGUGUGGACUUUCCCCGACAUCUUCGAAAACGUUGGGAAAUUUACCUUUCGCCGACGUAUGUAGUACACACGUCGGAGAAAGUUUAAAUAAUAAAUUCAUUAUUUAAACUUUCCCCGACGUACUCCUGUCAUACGAGUCUAAAUUAAAUUUAAUGCGUUCUCCUUCGGCGAUGUGUGUCAAGGUGACGUUGGAAAAAGUUUAAACACUAAUGCAAUUAUUUUAAAUCACAUAUGUUAUCGCUUAUAUGGCAUAAGAGUCUAUUAACGAUAGAAAUCUAUCUUGAUAGGUUUUGCUACAUUUACAAUUUUUAAAAAUAUUCUUAUAUACUUAACUAUUAUUCCUAAAAUUGCUAACCCAUUAUACUUACCCUAAGUUAAAUGUAUAAUGUCAAAAGUAAGUUUACUACGAAGGUAAUCUAUGUGACCCUUUUAUCCUAACGUAGGAAGUUUGUUCCACUCCAUACCAUUAUUGAACUAAAAGGAUUAAGUGUGUAUUAAUAUGUUUAAACAAGUAUAAUUAUAGCAAAAUCUAUAAGUGAUAUAUUGAUAUUAGCAAUACAAUACGCGUCACAUAUGCAAACAUUUUGUGUCUAAUCGUUGUAUUUACAAUUAACUCCAUUAAAAUAUUACAAAUAGAAAUAGAACUCUUUAACUAUGUUCAGUUAGGAUCACAAACUACAAAAUGAAAGCAUGGAACAAAUUUAAUUUUUUUUUUCUUUAAAGGAAAUUUUGUGUGUAGCACAUUAUAUUUUUUUCUUUCCUUUAAAAAACAUUAUUGAUCUUAUGAUAUUUGACAUAUAUUAUAUUUUUUUAAGAAUGUAAAUAAUGUAAAUAAUGUGCCAAAUAAUUGAAAACAUGUUAUCCAAAACAGAGAAUGGUUAAGAAAUUGUUGACAUUUAGUCAAAUUAAUAAAUAAUUCAAAAUUGUGUUUGAUUUUUGAAUUUGAAAAGAUAGUAAAUUAGAAGUGUUUUGAAAUAGUGUUUACGAGAAGAUUUUUAAUUUUAAAUAGCAUUAUAGUAGCUAUGGAUGGUUAUAUAAUAGUCUACACAAUCUUUGUCACAAAUGAUUAAUUCGAUUUUUUAAAUCAAGUCUAAUGUUUUUUUUUUUUUUUUUGCCUAUUUCUUACCAUAAUUUACAUUUUUUGUAAGUAUAAUGGUUGAAUGCAAAAAGAGAGCUGACUAGUAAGUGCAAAAAGAGAUCUCACAAGCUUCUGCAAAAGCUAAUCAAGCAACCCAAAUCAUAAACGAGGAGAAAAGUUGAUUGGUUAAGCUUUGUUGUAGUAAAGAAGUCAAAGUGAACAUGGAACGUUCUUCACUCUCAAAGAACAUCGCCAACAUAUAGAUUAUAUACUUUUUCUGGUAUUGACCCAAAAAACCAAUCCAAGUGUAUUUUUGGUGAGAUGCAUAGUUUAACUAAACCGUGUUAUUACAAAAUUUUUAAUUACUAGGAACUCCUAAUGAAACGAAUACAUUAUUUUUAUAAUUACGAGGUAAAAUGGAAACAUACAAACUACUAAAAAAAGUUGCAAUUCGAUUAUUGGGAUUCAAUCUACUCUCCAUGAAUGUUCUUGAAAUGAGAGUUUUUAAGCAGCUACAACUUGCUUAUGUAUAAAAGCAAAACCCUUCUCAACGCCUACCUUCAGUUUUGGCUUUAGAGCUUCAAGUGAUUUUUGCCCCUACUCAGAUAAACCCUGAAGAUCAGAUGUUACAAAGGCUUCAAUUCCACAUGCAAAAAUCAUGUUCAUGAACCAAAAGCACCUUAAGCUUCUCUUCGAUAUCUUUGAGCUCACUGGAUAAAGAACUGAUUUCUAAAGCAAUCAUCUCUACCAUAUCCUCAUCGUUCCCACUGUCUUUUAAUAAGGUUGGCAUGAUAAUCACAACAAAGAAGAAGAAACUAAGAUCAAUUUAACAAAUUUUAUGUUGGGAAACUUUUUUAAGAACAACUACUUAUAAACCAACCUUAGCUUUGGCCUCACAUUCCUUGAAUUUUCUAAAAGUAGAUACCACCUGUCCGGGCAACCCACACCAACCAACCAAGAGUAAGUUAGUGUGAAAGACACUUAUUUAAUGAAGAAUAUGUAAAAGAGGUCAUUCCAACUGUUACACAUAAUAGUAUUGGAGGCAGAUAACCUUGCCAUACCUCAUCAAGUUCUGAUAUUGAUUGAGCUAGUUUUUGAUACUCUGUGGGGUUUGAGACAAUAUCUGGAUUGACCAGCUUAACCUAAAUAAUAAUAUCGAUAGUGAUUAUUGUGUAGGAAAAUAUUAAAGCUAUAACCAAAUCAAAAGCAUAAUUGGAAAUACAGGGACGUCAACUGUUUUAGUAGGGGAGAAUGUCAAGAGCAUGCUUGUCCAAGGCAUUGUUUGCCCAUGGCCGCAUGGCCGAACAUCCUCAAACCACCUUAUAUUUAUGUCUUAUACUUAGUUUAGCCAUUUUGUUUCCUUUUGUUGUCGCCGACCUAGGGUGUGACGUUUCAAAAUUUUCAUAUGCAAGUCUAUCAUAACUAAAAAUGUUUAAAAUGUACUAUAGGGAAGACAUAGUAGUUGAAUCCCUGACCAAGCCUUGUUGCACUCUUUGCAUUCUAAUCUUUCUUUGCAAUUAACAGUCUUCAAUGCUUUCUUUAACGAUGUUUUCAAUUCUUUUCUUCUCUUCUUGUCUUAUAAAAAUAAAUUUCUCUCAAAACAUGAAAGAGGCUAUACCGUACUGCGUGCUUUUUGCGACUUCUGGAUUUCAUACAGCUUACUUGUUCACCGAGCUAGAACAAACGUCGCAUAAUCACCAUCCCCUAUUUGAAAAUUUACGAUUAUGACAGCAUGCGGUGAGGUGCACGCGGCAUGUGUGGGCCCAAGCCAAGCAUGCAACUGGCAUUCUGAUACUCUAUGCACGUGCAUGCUGCCUGCGCCCAUGCCGUGCAGCCAGCAUUGUCAUGACGUAGUUUUUGGGAUGUUUGGUGUUUUGGGAAAUUUUGAGCAAAUUCUGGAUGUUCGAGCAUGCGGAUGUUCUAUGCAAUGCAACCAGCAGCCCAUAUGUUCUAUGUUCUCUUUACGGUCGUAUGUACACAUUUGGUUAACUCUACUACUAAUGGGAAAGUUGACGAGCCUAUGCUGAAUUCAUCAGGAAAGGUGUACUUUAUUGAGCCCAUUGAGGAGAAGGAUACCUUCUUUUUUCGAAGAGGUGUUUCAAUGCCUAGGCCGUCUUUUGACAAUGAGGUGUUAAUAUUACCUAGACUUCAUGCUAAGAACGGGUUGUGAAUUUAUAAUCAAGAAUGCAGUUCGAGUAUCAUGUCUUUCAAAUGAUUUCCAACAGCUUGAAUGUUUCUAUAAGACAAGAAUUUAUGCUUAACUGUUUUAGAAAGCAUGUUUUAUAAAAAUUGUCACUCACUAAGUCUUUCGACUUAUCCUUUCAAAUCAUUUCUCACUUUUCAGGUAUGGAUUAUGCAUUCCCUAAUGUUAAGCGUAUUGCUGCUGAGCCAACCAGUUACUAGAAAUUGUUAAGUCAUUUUGAAAGUUAGUUUUGACUUUGUAAGAAAAGUUCAGGAUGAGCAUGUCUAUGUUUAUUGUUAAAGUUCCAAUGUUAUAAGUAGUUUAGUAAAAAGGUCACUGUCAUGUUUAAAGCUUCUGCUGAUGUAUCACAAUAGUUGUAACUAGUGGUUUAAGUUAUUAGUUUGCAUGUAGCUUGUAUCGCUGUUUGUUUUGAGCAUGCAUUCAUGUUGUAACUGGUAGUUAAGUUAGAAAGGUUAGUCGGUUGGUAAGUUUUGCCAAGGUAUGGCAAUCCUUGCCAACCCUCGCACCUUCUUUCAGAGCUAGAUGUUGUUCAGAAAAUAAGGAGCUUUGGGAGGGGGUGGUGACAACAACACCAUCCCACUAGAGUACGCAAUGAUGCAUUAUUGUUUAAUUAAGUCAUAUAUACUUCCACAAUUUGGAUAGGAAUUUAACUCAUUAGAAGGUGUCCUAUAGAAUUUCUCAGUGAAAAGUUCAGAGAAGCUACAAACAAAUGUCACUACCGAACAACAAUCAUAUACAUGGGUUAGGGCUUUGAGCAGUGUGAACACAACUUAAUAAUAAAUAUGAAGUCGUCCUCUUUUCAUCAUUAGUCAGAAGAAUUCUUAAACUUUCUAAAAAUAAUUGUCAAAUAAUUGAUUAUAUAGUAUGCCAUUUAUUUGGAAUACAAUUUUUUCAUUACCAGGAAAGGAGACUUCUCACUAAGUAAAUGUAAAGAGACUAAUGCUAUAAUUUGAAUUGGAAAAUAUAAUUUCAUAAUUAAGCAUCGAAUAGGGACUAGUUAAGAAGUACACACUUUAGUUUGCCAGAGUCCAUGUUCUACACAUGUUAGCCACUCUGUCAUUGGUUUAGCAGUAAAACAAAGGAUGUGUUUAGGAUGUGAGCCACACAAAAGGGAAAGAAAACAGAAGGCGCAGUGAGCCACACAAAAGGGAUCGAAACGAAUGUUCAGAAAUAUCGGAAGGAUCGAAGAAAUAUGGAAGGAAAGACGAGGAAAAACAACAGACCGGAGCAAGUUCAAGAAGGUAGAGAUCCCGAUCUUCAAUGGAAUAGACCCCGAUUCAUGGUUAUUUCGCGCCGAUCGUUAUUUCAAGAUACACAAGUUGACUGACUCAGAGAAGUUAAUGGUAGCGGUAAUCAGUUAUUAGGACCAGCUUUGGAUUGGUAUAGAUCAAUUGAUGAAUUGGAACAAUUCAAGAGUUGGGAAGAUUUGAAGCAAAGGUUGUUGUCCGAUUUCAGACGAUUCGGGAUGGAACACUCGUAGGCAGAUUCUUAAGGAUUAAGCAGGAAACGACAGUAGGGGAAUAUAGAAACAGUUUCGAUAAAUAUUUAGCUCCGGUAGCCUUCCUCCAGACCAUAGUAUUAGAAGAAACCUUUAUGAAUGGGCUAAGCCCAUGGCAUAAAUCCGAAGUUGAAACGCUGGAGCCCAUAGGUUUGGCCAAGAUGAUGUAACUAGCCCUGAAAUUGAAAAUAGAGAGAUGGUUCGUCGAGAAUGUGGGCUUAGUAGUGUUUCGGGAAUGAAUCAACAAUUCAAGCAUAAUAACGUAAAGCAAACCUCGACAGUAACACCCAAUCAGAAACCCACGGAAGGGAGCUGGCCAAUGAGAACGAUUACGUUAAAAAGAGUGACGGCAGAUGAAAAGAGGAGGGAAGGUCCGACCAAGCGUCUUUCCAACGCUGAAUUUCAAGCACGAAGGGAAAACGGUCUGUGUUUUCAGUGUGAGGAGAAGUAUCACGCUGGACAUAGGCGUAAGGUGAAGGAACAGAAGGAAUUACGGAUGUUAGUAGUAAAGGAAAUGGGAGAAGAACUGGAAAUCAUUGAGGAUGAACACUUUGAUGUGGAAACGGAGGCCCAGACCAUUGAAAUUGAAAAAGUGGAGAAUAUGAAUAUAGAGCUACCAUUAACUCAAUUGUGGGGUUAUCCAACCCUGGAACCAUGAAACUGAAAGGGAAGAUAAAAGAGACCAAAGUGGUAAUAAUCAUCGACAGUGGAGCCACCCACAGUUUUAUUGCAAAAAAUUUUGUAACCACCCUUAGCCUACCAAUGACAGAAACGUCCAACUAUGGAGUGAUUUUGGGAUCAGGGGUUGCGGUCAAAGGAAAAGGAAUCCGCAGUAAUGUUGAAGUGACGGUAGGAGAGUGGAAAAUUACAAACAACUUUUUACCCUUGGAAUUAGGGGUGGUUGCACUCAUUGGGCAUGACUGAAUUUGAUAUGAAAAAUUUGGUGAUGACAUUCCGACAUGGAGGAAGGAAGAUAGAGAUAAAGGGGGACCCUAGUGUCACCAAAACCCAAGUGAGCCUAAAGUCUAUAAUUAAGACAUGGGGAGCUGAUAAUCACGGUUAUUUGGUAGAAUGUCGGGCCAUGGAGGGAAGGCUAGCUGAGGAAGGCUUAGAGGAUGAAGAAGUGCCAGCCACUGUUGACAACAUGAUCUCUCCUCUGUUGAGCAAAUUUAAUGAUGUUUUUGAUUGGUUGGAAGAGCUGCCUUCGAAGAGGAACAUUGAGCACCAUAUACCCCUUCAGAAGGGGGUGGAUCCAGUUAAUGUCAGACCUUAUCGUUACGCACAUCGGCAAAAGGAGGAAAUUGAAAGACUAGUUGAUGAAAUGUUGAAGACAGGCAUCAUAUGACCGGGUACCAGUCUGUAUUCCAGCCCAGUCCUUCUCGUGAAAAAGAAAGAUGAUAGCUGGCAAUUUUGUGUAGAUUAUCGGGAGUUGAACAAUGUCACUAUCCCAGAUAAGUUCCCAAUUCCGGUCAUAGAUGAGUUAUUCAAUGAGCUGAAUGGGGCCAACAUGUUUUCGAAGAUUUAUUUAAAGGCGGGUUAUCACCAAAUCAGGAUGCAUCUGAGAGGUGUAGAGAAGACGACCUUUCGAACACAUGAGGGACACUAUGAGAGGUCAUGCCGUUUGAGCUAACCAAUGCCCCCUCUACGUUCCAAGCAUUAAUGAACCACAUCUUUAAGCCUUAUAUGAGAAGAUUCGUAUUAGUGUUUUUCGAUGACAUUUUGGUGUACAACAGGGGAGUAGAAGAACAUGGACAGCAUCUGGAAGUAGUCUUGGAGAUCCUUCGAGAGAAUGAAUUGUAUGUGAAUUUAGCCAAAUGUUGCUUUGCCAAAAGUAGAAUAGGUUAUUUGGGGCAUUUCAUAUCCGAAAAGGGAGCUAAAGUUGAUCCAGAAAAAAUAAGGGCAAUUAGGGAAUGGUCGAUUCCCACUAGUGUGCGAGAAGUUCGAGGUUUCUUAGGACUCAAUUGAUACUAUAGGAAGUUUGGGCAGAAUUAUGGCAGUAUCGAAAGCCCUUUGACACAGCUUUUGAAGACAGGAACUCAUUGUUGGACUGAAGAAGCAAGUGCUGCCUUUGAGAAGUUGAAGAUGGCAAUGAUGAUUCUACCGACGUUAGCUAUGCUGGACUUUAAUCUACCACUCGAGAUAGAAACAUAUGUAUCUUGUUUUGGUGUGGGGCCGUUUUAGUACAAGCCAAGAGACAAAUAUCCUUCUUUAGUAAAACCUUAUGCAUGUGGGAUAGAGCGCGACUGGUUUAUGAAAGAGAAUUGAUAAUAGUAAGUGUUUUGCGGUGCAAAGGUGGAGACCAUAUUUGUUAGGGAAGAAAUUUACAGUGAAAACUGAUCAGAAGUCGCUCAAAUUUCGGCUAGAACAAAGGGUGAUUCAACCCUAAUACCAAAAAUGGAUAGCCAAUCUUUUGGGAUAUUUCAUUUGAGGUAGUCUGCAAUCCUGGGAUUGGAGAAUAAGGCAGCCGAUGCUCUAUCUAGAACACCCCGUAUAGUGCACUUAAAUCAAAUAUCAGCCCCAACACUACUCGAUUUAGUGGUGAGUCAAGAAGAGGAAAAGAGGGAUCAAUACCUACAGGAAAUCCAGAAGAAAAUAGAAAGAACAAAAAGUGAAAGUUCCAAACUUUUCAGUACAGCAAGGGGUAUUGAAAUACAAAGGAAGGUUGGUGAUGUCAAAAACAUCCGUUCUACUACCCACUAUUCAUGCAUACCUAUUCAUGAUUUUGUCUUUGGAGGACAUUCAGGGUUCCUAAGAACGUACAAGAGGAUGACCGGAGAGAUUUACUAGGAAGGAAUGAAGAAAAACAUAAAGAAAUACUAUGAAGAAUGUCUUGUAUGCCAAAGGAAUAAAACACUUGCAUUAUUACCUGCUGGAUUGCUGCUGCCACUUGAGAUUCCUAACACAGUGUGGUCGGAUAUUUCCAUGGAUUUUAUAGAUGGACUUCCAAAAUCAGCUGGAAAAGAAGUGAUUUUUGUGGUUGUAGAUUGUCUGAGUAAGUAUGCACAUUUUUACAGCUAUAAAUCAUUCUUACAUGGCCAGCUUCGUAGCAGAAGUUUUUGUUAAAGAAGUGGUGAGAUUGCACGGGUAUCCGCAGUAAGUUGUAUCGGAUCAAGACAAAAUCUUUAUUAGUCAUUUCUGGAAGGAAAUGUUCAAGUUAGUGGGAACUAAAAUAAAUAGAAGGAAAUGUUCAGGUUAGUGGGAACUAUGCCACAUACACCAAGUUCGAAUAUAGAACUUGCUUCUUACUGAAAAAAUAAUGAUUAUUGGGACUUGCUAUAAAGGGUAUCCAAUACUCGAAGUAAAUGAAUGAUUACAAAAUGAUUGUUUCCUCAGUUUGAAGAAGAACAACAAAAAAGAAAAGAAGGAUAAAAAAAAAAAAAAACAAACUUUCUUUUUGAAAUUCUAAAAGAAUCCAAAAAGACUUCAAAAGGUGCAACCAAGAAAGGAGGUCAAAGAAGGGCUCUGAUAGACCCCCCUAUCAUACGUCAAUAUAGUCGAAAAAAAAAGAGAGAGAUCACAAGGGAACACACAUGCGAAGAAGAAAAGAUUUAAAGGACUGUUAGAAGAAAAGAUUUAAAAAGCUUGUUGGGCGUCGGUUAGAUUUGAGGAGAUUUAGGAGGGUCGUUAGGUGUUGAUUAGAAUAAAUAAGGAUAGGGAGGAAAGAGGAGGGUAUGCUGAGUUUAGAAGAAAAUUGACUCAUGCUCUUCCUUGAGCGAUAGGAUAGCAGAGAGGGAAUUAGAUUGUUUUUCGAAUUGAGUCCUCCUCAAUUUGAGUGUUCUGAUAUUUUGAUUUUCCUUGUAACUCAUUCUUUGAUUGAAGCAAUAAAAGUUCUAAUUGGAUUUCCAAAAGAGUUCUAUCAAAUUGGUAUCAGAGACAGUUUUUUCUGACCAAGAGGAAAAUGAUGGUCCAAACACGAAUGAAGGAGAGAAUGGAGGCGCACGACCAGGAGAUGCAUUUGAUGAGAAGCGAGAUAAGCAAAAUUUCGACAAUGAAAGAAAUAUUAGCCACGAUCAGCGUACAGACAAAGAAGACUCACAAAAUGUUGAUAAUGUUCAUGGAAUCGAUUACCAGAGAGCAUAUCGUUAUGAGUGAGAAAAUGGCCGAGUCGAGUGUGCGAGAGACAGUAUCAACAAUAACGAAUAAGAAGGAAGGCUCGAUCGAAAAGGACCAUGAGCACGAAACAAAGGAUGGAAAGAUAGAAGGAGAAGACGGAGCGAACGAGCAUAAUAAGUUCAAGAAGGUUGAGAUGCCAGUUUUCAACACGGAAGAUACCCAAUUUUUGACCCUUUCGAGCAGAUAGAUAUUUUCAGAUACACAAAUUGACUGAUGCUGAGAAGGUCCUGGUUGCGACCAUUAGUUUUGAAGGCCCGACGCUGAACUAGUAUAGGGCGCAAGAAGUACACGACAAGUUUACCAGUUGGUCGAACCUCAAGGAGAGAAUACUCAUCCGUUUUCAAUCAGCAAAAGAGGGGUCCAUAUGCGGACAAUUUUUUAGGAUCGGAUAACAGACGACAGUAGAAGAAUAUCGAAACCAGUUAUAUAAGCUGAUGGAACCGUUAUCCGAUCUACAAGACAGAGUGGUGGAGGAAACAUUCAUGAACGGUUUACUGCCGUGGAUUAAAGCAGAAGUGGAUUUUUGUCGUCCGGUCGACGUGGCUCAAAUGGUGCACGCGGCUCAACUCGUAGAAAAUCGAGAGAUAAUUCACAAUGAGGCCAACCUUAAGGGGUACGCCCAAGGAAAAUAUCCGCCUCAAGGUUCUAGGCAAAAUACGAGUGCUGCGACGGUGAACGAUAGCGACAAUAAGAGAAAUACAUUAUUUUCGAUGAGAACGAUUACUCUGAGAACGACAUCCAGAGAAGUUAAGAGAGGGGCAGGCAAAGCGAUUGUUAGACGCGGAGUUUUCAAGUCAGGAAGGAAAAAGGACAUUGUUUUCCGUUGUAAUGAGAUAUAUUAUCAUGAUCAUCGAUGCAAAAACAGAGGGCAAAGAGAGUUGAGAAUGUACGUGGUCAGGGCGAAUGAUGAAGAAUUUGAAAUCAUAGAAGAAGUGGGAGAAAAUGAAUUGUUUGGAAAUCACAUAAGAAGAUCAUGUUGUCAUCGAACUGUCAAUUAAUUCGGUGGUGGGGCUGAACAAUCCGAGGACAAUGAAGGUGAGGGGGAAUAUCAGUGAGCGAGAAGUUUUCAUUUUCAUUGAUUGUGGAGCAACGCACAACUUCAUCUCCGAAAAGAUAGUAAAGGAGUUACAACUGGCCACGAAGGCAACGUCGCACUAUGGUGUAAUCUUGGGCUCGGGGAAGGCGAUAAAAGGUAAAGGAGUAUGUGAGGACGUGGAAAUCAAGUUGAACGGGUGGAAGGUGGUGGAAAAUUUGUUACCCUUAGAAUUGAGAGGGGUAGAUGUUGUGUUAGGAAUGCAGUAGUUGUAUUCAUUGGGCAUGACGGAAGUAGAUUGGAGGAACCUCACAAUGACUUUUGUGCAACAAGGAGAAAAGGUAGUGAUAAGAGGAGACCCAAGUUUGACCAAAUCCAGAGUGAGUCUCAAGAACAUGAUCAAAAGUGUGGAAGGAUUCGUGAUCGAGUGCCGAGCAAUGGAGAGAGUCUUUGAGCCACAGGAAGAUAACGGGAUUGAAGAAGUAUUAACUACUGAUGAAGCAGUAUCGGUCGUGUUGAAGAAUUUUGAAGAUGUUUCUAAUUGGCCGAAGACACUACCCCCGCAAAGAAAUAUUGAACAUCACAUUCAUUUGAAACAGGGCACUGAUCUGGUAAAUGUUCGACCCUAUAGAUACGCUUAUCAACAGAAAGCUGAGAUGGACAAACUUGUGGAUGAGAUGUUGACAGCGGGAAUUAUCCGUCCCAGCAACAGUCCAUAUCUAGUCCAGUUCUAUUGGUAAUGAAAAAAGAUGGCAGCUGGCGUUUUUGCGUAGACUACCAAGCGCUGAACAAUGUAACCAUUCCAGACAAAUUCCCUAUUCCGGUGGUUAAGGAGCUUUUCGAAUGAAUUAAAUGAAGCAAACUGGUUUUCAAAGAUUGAUUUGAAGGUGGGGUACCAUCAGAUCAAAAUGUGUGGAGAAGACAUCGAAAAAGCAGCAUUCCGAACACAUGAUGGACACUAUGAAUUUAUGGUUAUGCCAUUCGGCUUAACUAAUGCCACAUCCACUUUCCAAGCUCUGAUGAACUCAACAUUCAAACCAUUUUUGCAGAAGUUCAUAUUAGUGUUUUUCGACGACAUACUAAUCUACAGUGAGAACUUGGAACACCAUUUGAAGCACAUUGGGUUAGCAUUGGAAAUCCUGAGAAAGAAUGAGUUAUAUGCAAACAAGAAGAAGUGCAGCUUCGCACAAGAACGUAUUGAUUAUUUGGGUCAUAUCAUUUCAAGACAAGGAGUUGAAGUGGACCUUGAGAAAAUCAGAGCAAUCACGGAAUGGCCUAUACCCAGUAAUAUAAGAGAGGUACGGGGAUUCCUAGGCCUCACCUGUAACUAAAGAAAGUUCGUUCAGCACUAUGGCUCCAUUGCCGCACCAUUGAUUCAACUACUUAGGAAAGGGGGAUUCCAGUGGACUGAGGAGUCUAAGGAGGCAUUCCAACAACUACAAAAUGCGAUGAUGACCCUGCCCGUUUUGGCGUUGAAAAAAUUUCAAUGCCACAUUUGAAAUGGAAACCGAUGCAUCGGGAUAUGGGGUAGGAGUCGUACUCGUCCAAGCCAAGCGUCCCAUAGCAUACUUUAGUCAUACGUUAGCCUCAAGAGAUAGAGCCAAGCCUGUACAUAAAAGGGAAUUAAUGGCAGUGGUCUUGCAUGUGCAACGAUGGCGACCAUAUCUGUUGGGGAGAAAAUUUAUUGUGAAGACCGAUCAGAAAUCCUUGAAGUUCUUGUUAGAACAAAGAGUGAUACAGCUUCAGUAUCAGAAAUGGGUAGCGAAGCUAACGGGAUACUCAUUUGAGGUGGUCUACAAACUCAGCUUGGAGAAUAAAGCAGUAGACGCCUUGUCUUGGAUGCCUCCUACAAUUAACCUCGGUAGCAUAACAGCUCCUACAUUGGUUGACAUUCUGGUGACUAAAAAGGAAGUCAAAGCGUAUGAAAAAUUAAGCAAAAUAAUGGAAGAACUACAAGCAAUGGAAGAAGUAACAGAGGGUAAAUUCUCCAUCCGACAAGGUAUGUUAAGAUAUAAGGAUAAGUUUGUGUUGUCCAAAACAUCUACAUUGAUACCCACAAUCCUACAUACUUACCAUGAUUCGGUACUUGUGAGGAAUGUGUAAUAUGUCAGAAGAACAAGUCCCUAGUGUAACGAGCAUACUUGUCCAAGGUGUGUUUACCUAUGGCCGUAUGCUCCGAUUAGCCCCAAUUUACCUUGUCUUUAUGUCUUGCACGUAGCUUAGGUAGUUGCUUUCAAUUUCAAGUCGAUAUGCUUGGGUGUGACGUUUCGGCAUUUUCAUAUGUUAAAAAUGUACUAUAGGGGAGGCAUACCUGUUGAAUCCCUGCCCAAGCCUUGUCGUACUCUUUGCAGUCUAUGCUUUCUUAUUGCAAUUGACAGUCUUCAAUGCUUGUUUUAACAACGUUUUCAAUCAAUUUAAUCAUCUUUCAUGUUUUCUAAAACUAUUUUUCCAAGAACGUGAGGGGAGGUUGAAGUAUGUGUUAAAGUUGUCUGCGAUUUGCAGAUUUUGAUCGGCUGACUUGUUCGCCGAGCUAGAACAAGUGCCGCACAAUCGUUCACAAUCGUGUAUGGGUUUCGUAAGGGUUACACAGUAAAGGAAGAGUAAGAAUUUGAGUGGAGAAACUCCAAUUGGGAUCAACACGUGGGCAACAACAUGGCUUCUCACCAACAUGAGAACUCAAAAGAGACAGCAGAUAUUCUAGAGAAGCCAAUGAACUCUUGGGAUGUGAAUCUGCACUUUCCUGCAAUAGUUUGAGUGUGAAUUAGUUCUCUGAAAACACCUGCAGAGGAUAAUCCACGGCAAAACAGAAUAACUAUAAAAAAACCACUUGCAAGUAGAAGAAAAAGGAAGUACAUUUAUACCUUCCCUGUCAAAGUGAUAUCCCUCAUCAACGGAUAUGCAUUUCUUUCCAGGAAGUAGCCAACAAUUUUACAAACCCAUGGGAGUUUAGGUUGUAAUAAGAAAACAAUUGUGUCCAACAAUAGAGUUGCAGGUGUGUUAGAGUUCACAGGUGCAGCCAAAAGUUGAUUCCUCAAUUGGUUUCUAUCAAGAACAACAUCAAGUAAGAAUAAUUCGGAGGAAAAAUAAAGGCAACUUAUCAUAUAUAUAAAUAUGAUUAGUCUGAAUUCGUUUGCGGAAGGUAAAAAAACCUUUAUGUCAAUUAUAUAUAUCUGAACAAAAUCUAAGAAAUAUAUCACUUUUCAACAAAAGAAAUAUAUCAUAUACAAUUAAAGGAUCAUAGCAUAGAAAGCCAACAAAAUCAACAAUGAUAGAUCAAACAUCUGUUUUUCCAUUCAAAACGUUAAAAAGGAUAAGUUUUUAAUAAGGAAUGUUGAAAUGGAAAAAACUAAUUACCUAUUAUGGUGUACAAUCUGGAUGCAAGCAUAUGCAAAUUUCUUAACUCUGUAAUCCACUAAGGCCUUGUUAAGUACAUAAUCCUUGCUAGCGAAAAUGCUCAACAUAUCCCCUAUAUAUGUAAGAGAGAGAAAGGUUAGAAAGUACUAACACUAAGAGAUAUGUGCUAUCAAUUAGAAACACUUUAAGAUGACAUUAUCAAUUAGAAAACCAAGUAUUAAGCAACAUAAGGGAAAAUAACAAACAAGGGCACCACAGUGGUUCAGAAACCAAUCAAUAUUUCCAUUUGUCACUUUUAUAAUAAUUUCCCAAGGGAAAAUCCUCAUAAUAAGCUUGAGUACCACCUAAUAACGUGUUCAAAUGUUACCAUAAGCAAAAAUGAGUGAUCCUAAAAUUCAUAUGACAAGGAAAGUCGUCAACUAGCAACCGCCAAAUAACAGUUAUAUGGCUAGAAUUAGUUUUCUCCAACUUCAAGAAAAUAAAACAUAUUAAAACAAAAGGAAUUAUGGUGCAAAAUAAUGAAUAUGCUGCAAAGGUAAGAAGUUUCUGAAGGUAAAAAUGGUCAAUAAAAAACAACAUAUAAUUUGACGUAAAUCAAAGUAGAAUUAUUUCUCGCAAUGAAUUCUCUGCCAAUAAUGGCUAAGAGAAGGGGUAUUUAUUGAGAAUUAGUUGGCCAGGCAGAAAUCAUCUAGGGCAUAGUAUUGUUUUAGGUCUGCGACAUUAAAAACAUAAUGAAUGUGUAAGUCUGGUGGUAGUUCUAUUUUGUAAGCAUUAUCUCCGAUCCUCUUUAGGACACGGAAUGGUCCUAAUUGUCUGUCUUUUAGUUUGUUGUAUGUUUCGGUUGGAAAUCGAUUUUUUCUUAGGUGAAUCAUUACUAAAUCUCCCUUGGUAAAGGUAGUUUGUCUUCUUUUUCUGUCUGUUGCGUCUUUGUAGGACUGAGUUGUUUCUUUUAGGUGAUUGUGGACUUCUUCGUGUAAAUUCUGGAUUUUUUCUAUCAUCUUUUCUGCCUCUGAUAGUUAGGGAACUCAACACAUUUUACUUGACCUAACCAAGAUGGCUCUUUGUAUGUAUAUUGCAUGUGUUGUUUGUUUUUUUCUAUAGCUCUUGAUUGUCUCACUUUUUUACGUUUUGCAUUUGCAAUUCUCUUUUCUUUCUUUGGUAUGCAAUGUGGUAACAAGGUCUUGCUAGAACCGGUGGGCUAACCUUUCUAUGGUUCUAAACUUAGUUUCUAAGUUUGACUGCUCCCUUCGGAGUGACAACAAGCCUCGUUUUUCUCCCUACUAUGGAACGGGAGGAUUCAUUUUCUUUUCAAAGCCCUCGUCAAACUCAAUGCUAAGUUUGACUGCUCCCUUCGGAGUGACAACAAGCCUUGUUUUCCCCUAAUGUGGAUCGGGGAGGAUUCCUUCUCUUUUCAAAGCCCUCAUCAAACUCGAUGUUGUGUUUAGAACGCUAAGAGUAGGUGGUCUGGUUUUGGUUAGGCCAAAAGUGAAGUUUUCCCCCAUUUUUUAUGGGCUUUUUCUAAUGUAUAUUGGAUAUGUUGUUUGAUUUUUUUUAUAGCUCUUGAUUGUCUUACUGUUUUAUGUUUUGCAUUGUCAAGUCUCUGUUUUCUUUCUUUGGUAUGCAAUGUGGUAACUAGGUCUUGCUAGAACCGGUAGGCUAACCUUUCUAUGGUUCUACAUUUAGUUCCUAAUUAAGUUUGAUUGCUCCCUUCGGAGUGACAAUAAGUUUUGUUAAUGUCGACCCUUUUCUAAAGGGAUUUAGUUCACUGUGGCUAGGCAAGAGGUUUCUAACUCAUGUUUGACAAGACAAAUUUGUUAAAACCAUCUUAGUUUCUAAAGAGUGCCUCCUAUCCCUUUUUUACUCUAUCUAGGCUAGGUUUGGACUAAGUGCAUCAUAGGUAAGUCACGACAAAGCAACAAAGGAAGACAAAGCUAGAAAAGUAUUCAUGCACUUAUUUAUUAUACAUGCAAUCAAGCAUUCACAACAUACAUACCAUUUUCUCAAUCAUGCAUUCACACCUCAAUAAGAAAUAGCUAAAAGGAGCUUACAACAAAAAAGACAGCCGCUUAUUCUCAAAUUUCAGCACAUAUACUCAUCAAAAUUUAGAAUUUCACAUUGCAAACCCGAGCUCAGUGCUCAAGGGUUGCCAAUCAUGCUUUUUAUGCAAGAUCUAAUUAAGCUAAGAAGGUAUAAUGCUCAUUUUGUAUGGAAAGAAUUCUGAAAUUUUUUUUAAAUUUGGGCAAAAUUUGAACCCCGAAGUUUAGACUAAACAUGCAAGCUAAGCAAGCUAUUACCCACACCCACUCAAAAAAUUGCUUUGUCUGUCCUAAAAGCUUUUGAAAAUCAAAGUAAAUGGAGAAAAAUAAGGGGGAACUUUGGACUCCCCUAGAAGGAUCGACAUCCUUGACUUUGGUUUGAAGCUUGCAUGGAUAAACCUUUUCAUUCCUUUUUAAUUGAUUAUUCAUCCUUGUUCCUGAAAAUCAAAGGAAAUUCUCUCAAUUUUAUAUAUUACUAAAAUUAGGAUACAUAUAAGUCUUAACUAGUCUAAUAGCACCCUCCAUUCAUCUUCCCCUACACUGGCUAUGGUAUCAAAAUUUUCAAUUAAGUAAUACGUCUACUAACGAACUUGAAAACAAAACACAUCACACUAAAAAACACAAACAUCACUUUAACCCAACAGAAGCUGCUCUUUUUACCCUUGCACUCACUAUCACAUUACUAUCAUGUUUGUCAACUGUCAAACUAACUCUUUUAAGUUAUUUAGUGUGACUACAAAGUUAUGAACACCAUAAUCUUAAUUAAAACCUUUUAAUAAACAAAUGCCAAGUUACUACUCAACAAUGGCAAGGAAUUCAAAAAACAUGACUGUAACGACCCAACUUUUCUAGGUAAGUCGAAGUCAUUAAUUUCAAAUAAGGACCUGAGUUUACACAAAAUCUCAAUCUCAAACAAUUUCAAAGUCUCAAGAAAAACAAAAAUUAUAUACCUGGGCCCGGUUUAAAAUAACCAGCACCUUCAAGACAAAUUUACUAAUUCGUGAAUACAGUUCAACUAUAAAAUUUUCUAAACAAUCUCAAGUACUAAACAAAACACGUGAAACAAAACAUUUAGCGGAAGCAAUUUAAUAUAAUACCAAUGGCAAUCACGCUUCCUUUCUGCCCCUCGCCGGUU